UUUUCCUUUGUGGGCACUUGACUUUGGAUUUUCUUUAUUUUCAAGAGUUUUUUACUUUGGAGCAUCGGCUAUCAUGGCUAGUCGAGGUCGACUUAAUGCACUUGUUGAGGCUUAGUGCUUUUCUUGAGUUUUACCUUUUUGUAAGAAAAAACCCUAUAAAAAUCGAUCUUGCCAUCUUUUCUUUGUAUUAGUUUUGGAGAAGAAAUAGACCGAAUGGGAUUCAUAGAAAAGCAAACAACAGACAUGAUAAUGAAUUUAAAAGAGAAGCAUCCCUUUCGGGGAAAGGAAAGAAGGACUUAUCUGGAGUGCAUGAAGACUUCAAUAGACAUGACAUGCUUCUUGGACUGUAUACCCGAUCUGUGCAAACCAUCCAAUUCUCAUAAACCCAUCAUAAUCCAUAUAUCAAAACCUAGAAACCUUGCCAGGACUCUUAUCAGUAGCGAUGGUUGUAAGGGAUCCUUUUUCGAUCAGUUGCGCCAUUUGCGGGUUUUUACCAACUGAUCUCUCUCAUUUCUCUUCUCACUACCACCUUAUAGUGCCCUUUGCAAGUUUUCACCAACACGACUCUCUCAUUUUCAAUUUCUCUGCUCACCAUCGACUUACAGUGCCCGUGUGGGUUUUCACCAAUAAGACUCUCUCAUUUUAUUUCUCUCAUUUGAUUGUAUCAGAUCCAAGUAACCAACAUCCUCCCAUUUGGAACAUAUUUACCGAUUGAUCAGAAGAACUUUGAAUAGGAUUUAGGGUAAAAAGAGUUUGGAUUGAAUUAUAACUUUGGAACCUUUCAAGCGAACCGUCACCGACCCAUUAUAAAUUAUGCCCCAAUUUAUACUUUGGGGGGAAUGUUGAUUUUUGUUUUGGAGUGACUGAACACCAGAGAGAGGCUUCCUACGUAUCCUUUCGAAAUCAAGUCGAAUGUAGUUCAGGAAACUUUAUUUUUUUAUUUUCUUCUUGUUUUUUGUUGUUUUUUUUGACAAACAUUUUCGGGUUCCAAAGAGGGUAGUCAAAGAAAUGUAACUGGCUCAAUGUUUUUGCAAAAGGUUAACAGUGUUUAGGUAGCGAGAAUGAAAGCCUUCGUCAUCCCAAUUGGGGAAUAUCUGUACCGCAAAAGGGUUAAACAUAAUACCUUUUGACUGUGUCUGCAUUGAUAGUUGUUUCAGGUUCAUUCCCUUCAAUGUCUCCCAAGUACAAUGCCCCUUUUGGCAACAAUUUUCUUAUAAUGUACGGACCCUUCCAGUUUGGAGCGAACUUUCCUUUUGCUUCCUUGUGAUGCAGGAGAAUACUUCUCAAAACGAGUUUCCCCACUUCAAAGUUCCUAGGCCGCACUUUCUUGUUGUAGGCGUGGGCCAUUCUUUGUUGAUACAACUGCCCGUGGCAAACUGCGGCCAUUCGUUUUUCAUCAAUUAGGGUUAACUAUUCCAGAUGGGUCUUGACCCAUUCAUUGUCUUCAAUAUCAACUUCAAUGAUGAUUUGAAGGGAUAGAAUUUCCACUUUUGCGGGUAUUACAACUUUAGUGCCAUAAAAAAGUAAGUAGGGUGUUUCCCCAACUGAUGUGUGCAUGGUUGUGCGAUACCCCAACAAUGCAAAAGACAACUUUUCAUGCCAUUGUCUAGAACAUUGAAUCAUUUUCCUAAGAACCUUCUUGAUGUUUUUGUUCGCUGCUUCAACAACACCAUUAGCUUUGGGCCAAUAAGGGGUAGAAUUACGAUGUGUGAUCUUAAAUUUUUCACAUACCUCCCUCAUCAAAUGGCUAUUCAAAUUUGCAGCAUUGUCCGUAAUGAUAGUUUUAGGAAUACCAAAACGAUAGAUAAUGUUAGAAUGCACGAAGUCCACCACUGCUUUCUUGGUGAUGUCUUUGAGAGUGACUUCUUCAACCCACUUUGUGAAAUAGUCAAUGGAAACUAAGAUGAAUAUGUGCCCGUUUGAAGCUUUUGGCUCAAUUGGCCUAAUGACAUCCAUACCUCAAGCAACGAACGGCCACGGUGCUGAUAUAGGAUGCAGUUCUGAAGGCAGCGCAUGAAUAGGAUCACCGUGUACCUAACACUGAUGACACUUUCGGACAAAACUGAAACAAUCAUUUUCCAUGGUCAUCCAGUAAUAACCUGCUCGAAGGAUUUUCUUUGCAAGGACGUAUCCAUUCAUAUGGGAUCCACACACUCCUGCAUGCACUUCAUUCAUGAUUCUUCCAGCCUAUUAGGCAUCCACGCAUCUUAAAAGGUUUAGAUCUGGAGUUUUUUUGUACAAGACUUCUCCGAUCAAGAAGAAACUACUGGCAAGUCUUCUAAUGGUUUUCUUUUGGUCUCCGCUAGCUUGCUCAGGAUAUUCUUUUGUUUUCAAAAAUCUCUUGAUAUCAUGAUACAAUGGCUGAACAUCUGGUUCCAUCUCAACUGUAUUGCAAUAACCAUGUCUUUCUCGGAUUUGGAUUUCCAACGGGUCAAUGUGGAUAUUGCUUGGAUACGGUAGCAUCGAGGCCAAAGUAGCUAGUGCAUCGGCUAACUCAUUGUGAAACCGAGGAAUGUACCUGAACUCGACGGAUUUGAACCACUUGCUAAGAUCUUCCACAUGUUGCAUGUAUGGAAGAAGCCUGAUAUCCCGAGUUUCCCAUUCACCUUGAGCUUGUCGGAUAAUUAAGUCAGAAUCUCCCAUGAUUAACAAUUCUUACACACCCUGAUCGAUUGCCAUAUUCAUGCCCAUAAUGCAAGCUUCAUACUCGGUAGUGUUGUUCGUACAGAAAAAUCGAAGUCGGGCUGUGGUCGGAUAGUGCUGACCAGUGGGCGAAAUCAAAAUUGCCCCAAUCCCGGCACCUUUUGCAUUCACGGCUCCAUCGAAGAACAUUUUCCACGCAUUGGUGUCUUUCGAAAUUACCUCAACUGAAUUUACUUUCUCGUCCAGAAAGUAAGUACUCAAAGGCUGAUAUCCAUCAUCAACAGGAUUCUCAGCUAAGUGAUCCGCCAAAGCUUGAGCUUUCAUUGUCGUGCGGGUGAUAUAGAUUAUGUCAAACUCGGUGAGCAGGAUUUGCCAUUUUACUGACAUUCCUGUGGGCAUCGGUUUUUGGAAUAUGUACUUCAAAGGGUCCAAUCGAGUUAUGAGAUAGGUGGUAUAAGCCAACAAGUAAUGCCUAAGCUUCUGAGCGACCCAGGUUAGGGUGGAACAAGUUCUUUCCAACAAAGUGUACUUGGCUUCAUAACUAGUGAACUUCUUGCUCAAAUAGUAUAUGGCUUGUUCUUUUUUCCCAGUCGCAUCAUGUUUCCCGAGAACACAUCAAAAAGAAUUCUCCAACACUAUCAAGUACAAAAAUAAAGGCCUUCCAGGCUCGGGUGGAACCAACACUAGCGGAUUCGACAAAUAUUCUUUAAUUUUGUUGAAAGUUUCCUGACACUCAUCUGUCUAUCUAAUCAUCACAUCUUUCUUCAACAACUUAAAUAUAGGCUCACACGUGGAAGUCAACCGAGCAAUGAGCCUGCUGAUGUUAUUCAACCUACCCAGCAUAACAAUCCACGAAAGACUGUAUCUCAUGUUUGGCACAUUGGUCAACAAGGAGGUGGAUGUUUUGUAAUGGAAAGUUGUCAUUGGGGUUUGCUUUGUUCAAAUCCUGAUAAUCAACACACACUCGGGUUUCCCAUCUUUCUUUGGUACUAGGACCACAUUAGCCAACCAUGUGGUGUAUCCGACCACUCGGAUCACACCCGCUUUUAACUAUUUGGUGACUUCUUCUUUAAUCUUGUCACUGAUAUCCAUUUUAAACUUUCUCUGUGUUUGUUAGACAGGGGGAUAAUCGGGGUAAGUUGGCAAUUUGUGCACCACUAAAUUAAUACUUAGUCCUGGCAUAUCAUCAUAGGACCAGGAAAACACGUCUUUGAAUUCGAACAAAAGUUAUACCAAUGCAUCUCUAGUUCUUUCAUCAGCGUGAAUUCUUAUCAUGGUUUCUUGGACCUCUUUUGAACUACCCGAAUUAACUGGCUCAGUUUCAUUUAAGUUUGGCUUAGGCUUAUUCUCAAAUUGUUCCAGUUCUCGAUUUAUUUCCUUAAAAGCCUCAUCUUCAUCAUAUUCUGGUUCUUGAUUCAUUAUUUCACAGUUAGACAUAGUGUUAGGAUCUGGGAAUGAAGCCCGCAAGCAUGUCAUGUUAUUUAAGUCUACAUUAUUAGAACUGAAAGAAGAAAUACGAAAAAUAACAAAAAUCAGAAAGAAUAAAGAGAGAGAUACACAGACGAUGGAGUAUUGAUUUCAUUUCAUUGAAUUUGAAGAUAGAAGGGUAUACAUUGGAAUUUUAAAGACAAUAAACUAAAGACAUUUGAGUUACACCCUAAAAUAACUCGGAAUGUAGAAAAGAUGGCAAGACUGAACUAUCGGGAUUCCUGCCUAACUGGGAAUGGAGUAGCCUUUCAAUUUUGAAGCUUGGAAUUGGGCCCCAUAUAUUGCACCUUAGUAGUGCUUGAUCCUUCACCCGGCUAGACCAUGUGAGCCUCAUAUAACAUUUGCCUCAUUUCCCCAUAGCUGUCCUCAAUUUCUUCGGCCGUAAAGGCCUCAUCUUCUUCUUCUAUGUAUCUUGGCUUGACAAACAUUUUAGAGAAAUGCAGGAUCUUCUGAGGCAGGAUCCACCCAUUGUUCUUACGUUCAUUAGCCCAUGUUACGUCAGCUUCUGUGGAUUGGAAACCCACACCGAAGAAUUUCUCACUGGCAGUCAAAGUGAUAGGCUCCAUAAUGCCUUGUAGAGAUGCCCCGAGCCCUUUCCCGGGCAUGUAGCCAUGUUUGAUCAUUUCACUAGUGACCAUGAGCGAUGCAUUUGACAAGAAGGGUUGAGGACAUGGGUUCCUUCCUCACAGUGGUCCGCGACCACGAUCUCAAAAGCUUGGUAGACUAUGUGCUCACUACCUUCCCUAGCCUCCAAACAUGGUACGGACAGGUCCCUGUAGACUGAUUGCUCAUCUUCUCUGUGGACCACGAUUUCCUACUUUUCAUGUUCAAACUUAACCAUUUGGUGGAGAGUAGAUGGUACAGCCCCUACCGCAUGGAUCCAAGGCCUUCGUAAGAGAAAAUUGUAGGAGGUGUUCAUGUCAAAAACUUGAAAUGUUACUUCAAAAUCCACAGGGCCAAUGGUUAAAAUUAAAUCAAUCUCCCCGAUCGUAUCUUUCUUGAUGUCAUCAAAAGCAUGUACGCAAACAUUGUUGGGUCUAAUUCUUUCAGUCCCAAUUUCCACUCUCUGUAAGGUUGAGAGAGGGCAGAUGUCAACCCCAGAUCUGCCAUCCAACAUAACUCUUUUCACGUAGUAUUCUUCACACUUAACAGUCAAAUGAAGAGAUUUAUUGUGGGCAGCCCCUUCCGGAGGCAAGUCAUUUCGGCUGAAUGAGAUCUGGUUGACUUCAAAGAAUCGUUCCACCAUUCUUUCUAAUUGCUCAACAGUGGUCUGGACCGGAACAUAUACCUCAUUAAGGGUUUUCAUCAGCACUUUCUGAUGCUCACUCGAGCUUAUCAAUAGAGACAAAAGUGAGACCUGGGAGGGAAACUUCCGGAGUUGGUCAAUUAUAUCGUAGUCCAUGGCUUUCAUCUUUCAGAAGAAUUCUUCUGCCUCUUCAGUACUGACUGGCUUUUUAAGCAGAAAAUGCUUAUAUACGGUCUUGUUCAAUUCUUCCAGAUUAAGGUACAUCCCAGACGGGUUUGUUUCAUUCACUUCCCCCAUGAUUUCUUUUCCCUUGUACGUCACUACUGCUUUGUUGUAGUUCCAGGGGACGGCAGUGGGGUCCUUUAUGGGAUUUUGUGGUGUGCGGCUGAUAAAUACAGGCUCAGUCAGCCUGAUUGAAAUUACCGGCCCCCGCGCCACAUAAGUCCCCUUUGGUACGUAUAUCUUUGAUACCGUAAGCAUGACCUUGUUUUGCUCUAACCUUUUGGUAGGACUCAACACAAACUGUUCCUUUUUGGGGGCCCUGGGAACAUAUAGAACGACAUCUUUAGGAGAUACUUCCCCGAUCUUGGUUUCCACAACCUUUUCUAUGCUUUGAGGAGUGGAAUUGAUUUUUUUCGCAUCUUUAUCUUGCUUUGCUGCCGUUUUGGGAUUCUUUUCAAUAUCGGCAAUAACAAUGAUAGCCUUCAAAGCUGGGUCGAACUCUUUGUCCUCACAAAUCAUCCCAAUAAUUGGCCCGUUGUUGUGAGAUGGUAAUGGGUUAUUGGUUACAUUAGGGACCUCUACAUCCCUUAGCCUUACCCGUUCUUGCUCUAUUAGGUUUUCAACCACGCUUUUGAAGGUCCAUUAAUCCUUAGUGUCGUGCCCUUCUGCCCCUGAAUGAUAAGCACAUCGGGUAUCAGGUUGGUUGGAGGGUGACUCUGGAUUUUGCCUGUUAUGAAGUACGGCCUACAACAAACCCAUUUGGACCAACUUUGGGAAGAGGUUGGAAUAUGAUUCACUAAUGGGUGUGAAGUUGGUCUUUCUGGGUGGCUCACGAGCACGGACAUUAUAUUGAAAAUUAUGUUGUGGGGGACGGGGAUUAUAUGGAUCUCGAUGCGGAGGGUUAUUUUUGGGAGGUGAAGCUCAGUUCUGGUUAUAUUGUUGUUGGGGCCGAGCGUAUGGCUGGGCAUUCAUCACUACAUAAGGCUGAGGAGUCAUGGAAUACUCCGCAUCUUGGUGAGGCUAAUAAUGUUAUGGGGGGCUUUAAGUGGAACCAAAAUAACCUCGGGGUUGCCGGGGGUUUCUCGGACUUGAGGCUAUCAUUGCCACUUCUUCUUUCUUUUUACGGUUUGAUGCAGCCCCUGACCCGCUCUGGAUUGCUUGAGAGGUGGAUCUUAUAGCCGGUUGGCUGAGGAUGCGACCAGUUUUCAAACCAUUCUCUACCAUUUCCCCAAUCUUUAUGGCUUCUACAAAUGGCUUACCCAUAGUGGAAAUCAUGUUCUGGAAGUAAUAAGCCUCUUGGGCUUUCAAGAAGACACUGACCAUCUCGGUCUCAUCCAUUGGGGGUUUCACCCUGGAAACUUGUUCACGCCACUUGAUAGCGUACUCUCAGAAGCUUUCUAAAGACUUCUUUUUGAAAUUGGAUAAUGAGUUUCGAUCUGAAGCUAUGUCCACAUUGUACUGGAACUGUCUGACAAAGUCUCGAGCCCGGUCAUCCCUUAUGUGCUGGUCAUACCUCUUUAGGUGAGCUAUGGGGUUGCCAUGUCCGUCAUACUUUUCAAACAUGGGAGUCUUGAAACCGAUAGGCAUAUGAACAUGCGGAAACAUGCACAAUUCAGCAUAGGAGACACCCUUCUGGCCACUCAGGCCUUGUAUGUUCUUGAGACAUUGUUCUAUGCUUUUCAUUUUUCGAGUGAUCUCUUCUUGCUCGGGAUUCUUUACAGUUCUCUCUUGUCUCACGGUAAUCUCAUACUGAGGUUAUUGAGGGUAGGAGUUUGUAGUGACAUGAGUCGUGUCCGAUGGAAAUGGUGGUAUUUGGAAAGUAAAGGAUGACAGCUCAAAACUUGGCCUGGGUAAUGUUGAUUGUGAUGUGGCCGAGGUUGGUGGUGCGGUGAAUAUGUUAGAAGCCACUCCCGAAAUCAAUGCUUGGGGCGAACCUCAGAAGGCGUUUCGGCGAAAUGGGCUGACAGGGUGGGGUGUCCAAAUUGGGUGUUAGGGUAAUUUAUAGGGGUGUUGGAGGUUCCACUUGUUCUGGGAAUCAACUUAGGAAAACCAGGUAUUGCGCCCGGUGGCUCUCUACCACUAGACUAAGGGUCCCACAUUUCCAACAGACGCAGUGCCCUGUUCUCUUUAGCAGUUGCUGACUCUAGCGUCAGAAUAACUGACAAUGGACUGUCCUCUAGGGGGAAGUAUUGGUAGAUGACUCUCUGACAUAAUUUCGACACUUCCUUUGGAUCUUGUAAUGCAGGGGUACAAAGCCAGGUUACCCCAAAACCAACCACCUUAGAAACAUAACUUGGUCUUAAAGCAUACACAACAAACAGAUUAGUUUGAGACAAUUAACACAUAGGUUAUCGCACGUUAGGGAAUGCAAUGCACCUAAAUAGUUAAAUAUUUUUUCUACAUGUUUUGCAACGGUUGCGUGUAUUAUCCCGACUUUUGUGACCUUCCAGAUUUUUGAAUCUUUUAUUUUCUCUCUUAUUCUUGUUUUCUCUCUUAUUUGAGUUAUGUAAAACCAUGACCGGAUCCGAUGGGGAUUGCCUACAUAUCACGAUGCCGCGUGAAUCAGAUCAUCACAUAGUUCAAGGGAUGAUGCGAAAUAAAAGAAAGAAAUAAUUUUUUUUUUUUCAAAUUUUCAUUAAAAUAAAAACAUAUAAUUUUUUUCCUCUAUUACAACGAAUCCUAAGAACUGAAAACUAAAAUAGACUCGAAACAGACUCUGAAAGGAAACUAAAAUACAGACUCGUAAAGAAAAAUCAAGAGUACAUAAGUGCCUCCAAAACUACUCCAGGGCCAGUGGGACAUCAGUCGGUCUCGCCGUGGGCCUAUAUGCAAGAUCUCCUUGGAGACGAUCCAGGUCAUCCAUUAUCUGGCGAACAAAAGCCAUCACUGCGGCGAAGAAGGUGGAUCGAGUCAUAUCCUCACACUCAUGGCAUUUCAUGACAAUGAAGUCAGCAGUUGCUCUAACCCUGCUCUAACCAUUUCUCUAAUGAUGUCUUUCUCUUGGAGAAGGCGUCCAAUUUGUUGAGACCUAGCUUCUAGAACUUGGGUGUCAUAAUGACUCUACUCCUGCAACUGUUGCAUGUCCUCUUCUAGUCGAGACAUCAAUGCAUAACAAUGUUCCCUCUCUGCCUUGAAGUUCUUUAUCUGUUUAGCCAUUUCAUUCUUGAGGGUAGUUAGCUUUUUCUUUAGAUUUGCGAAUUCUCUAUCAUAUUUUCCUUUCAAUUGCUGAACAAACUCUGCUCGUCCUUCUGAGUUUUUCGCCAACUGUGUCCGGGCUCUUGCCAAACUACCUUCGAAUUUUUCCAAAUCAUUACUAUACUCACACACUUUCCGCCCAAGACCGUUUAUAAGUCUUUCAGCUGUUUGGCUCCUCCCGGGGUUUUCAGAAGCUAUCUUCAUUCUUUGAAUCUGGGCUCGGAGGACUUCAUUUUCUUGGGCCAACUUCUUCUUUUCACCCUCAUCUGCAGCAGUUUGCAAACCACUAUCAAAUUUAAGAUCCCUGAUUUUCCCUUGCAACUUGCUUAUGGUGGCUCUGUAUUCAUUUUCUUUGGUCAGCCAAUCCCAUUGUCCUUGUGAUACUUCAACAAAUUCUUGGAGGUGGGGCCUCUUAUCUUGUCUCCCAAACUCAAAAACCUUUUAUACCAAGCAAGGUAACCUGACGAGACUUCACCCUUGGAUAAAUUACGUACUCGGAUGUUCACCGUCAAGUAUUGAAACUCACUCCAGAUUUGGCGAUCCACUGCUUCAUGAAAUUGGCCAUCAGAGCGGAUCCCAACUGCAUGAAUGCUAAGGUUUUCGUCUUUUGGGACUAUUUGGCACCUUCUCAGCUAUCUCAAAACCCGGUACGCGGCAUAAGUUUGGAUACUUCUGAGACCUAUUAGGAGGAAGUGAGGACCAGUGGCAGGCAUGUAUAUAAUCUCACUAACAGAAAGACAACCCAACGUCCACUCCAUCUUAUUUGCAGUUAUGGAGCGGAGGCAGGAUAUCCAAUCUACAACCUCUUUUGGCAUCUUGAACCCAUUGACCAUUGUAUCAAACUACUCUAUGCAACUUUUCCCUGUAGAUCCGUAAUUCAUGUAAUGAGGACGAUGACACAUAUGCUCAAUCAUCCACAUUUAUAGUAACAAAUUGCACCCUUCAAAAAAAUCUACCACUCCUUUGCAAGAUAUGAGAGCUCGGAAUAUUUCUAAUACUAUCAUAGGGCGAGGAUGCUCUUGGCAUUGGUAAUAAAAGUAUUAACGACUCCAGCUACCCGUAGAUCAAUAUUCCCGUCCUUCCUAGGAAACACCAGAAAACCUAAGAAUGCCACCAUGUAAGCGAAACAUCUAUGCUCUUCCCACUUUGGUCGGUUCCCUUUGCUACAGAUUCUGCUUUCCGGGUUUUCAAAUCCCCCUAUAUGUCUGUACCGCUGGUAUAUGAAGUGUAGAGUGGAAAACCCACUUUCCAAAUCUGCAUACUAGACCUGCCUACUUAUUUUUAACAAAUAUAGAAACUUGUGAGGGGUGACGACCCUUGGAGCGACCAGGUAUUUAUGUUUUAAACCCUCGGUACUCCCAGCCUAACCUGCUAUCUCUUCAAAAGUAGGUGUGAGUUCGAAGUCCAAGAAAUGCAAAACGUUUUAAGCUGGGUUCCAAAAUGUCACCAGUACUUUUAUUAUGUCCCACCUAGGCUUGAUCUUUAAUAAUCCAGUGAGAUCCCCCAAGUAAUGGUUGACCAUGUCUCGUCCUGGCUUACCUAAAUUUUCCCACCACAUGUGUAGUUCUAACGAGAUCUUGGUCAUAACCUUCAUUGGUAAGUUUUGACUCGUGCUCAUUCUACAUAUUUAGAUUAAGGUGAUUGGUUUAAAACAAAGUGAAUUUAUUAAAGCUGAUAAAAACAGGUCAUUUUGCAAAAUUUAAAUAAACAUGGCUACUUAUGCAAAUACGGCCCUUCAGCACUUCAAAGGAAGAUUUUAGGGUUGUGUUUGCUAGGUGGCCAAAAAUUGGCAAAGAAACUAUCGGUGGUUAUUUUUGCAAAAACGGCAUUCCGGCACCCCGUCGGGACGUUCGGCUUAUUUAGAUAAAAACGGCAUCACCCACUUUAUUUAUGAAAACAAAUGACGACAUUUUCAAUUUUUUGGGUUAUAUUUUGCAAAAGCGGGGCUGGACACAACAGAAACCCGCGUGAGACAACAGAAGCAAAUAAUUUUCGGUAAAACCGCGUAGUUCGGCCAAUGUUGACACAACAGAAAACAUGAAAUAAUUUUCCCUUUUUUUUCUUUUUCUUUUCUCCUACUUUUUUUUCAAAAUUUUGGCAGAGUUUUGGUAUAUUUUGGACACCAGAUUUUUUAAAGGCAGGUAAUUAUCUCUCUCAUACCUCAAUUUGAAUUUUUCCAAUUUUUCUCCCUAUUCUAGAAAUGGGUCAACAUGUAAACCGAAGCAAAUAAUGGUACAAGUAGCACGUAAAAAUGCAUCAGGAUGGUCUUUUGAUUUUUGGGUACACCUGUCCUAGGCGGACCCAACCCUUGUAUUGAGUCUCCAAAGUCAAAUGCACAUGAUGCAAACAAGAGUUCCUACUAGGGAUCUGGCAUGAGGCUGAGUUAUUCUAGGUUUAAAACCUGGGUGUGUUGUUCUAGACUUGGUUUACCCGAGGGGACAACUCGAGCGAGGGGGCGCUACGUACCGGGAACCAAAAGGCCAUCCAGCUUUGUAACUUGUCCGAACCUCAUUCUAAAUUAGGAUAUGACGCUAACAGAAAAGAAGUCAUGCUAGCGUGCACUUCCCCGAAGAUGAGAAGAGAAGGGUUUUGCAGUAGUUUAUAUACAGUUCACGUAAUAUUAAAACGGUAAAAACGGCAUUUAGCACAUUAGGCCCAAACAUGUAAAAAUCAGAUAAUAAAUAAAGUCAAGUAUAAGAGUUAUUCUAGGCUCGAAUUUUUCAACCCUGAACCAGAGAUUCUGAGUUCGAUCCCCAACGGAGUCGCUAGAGCUGUCACACCUCCUUUUUACCCGAGAGGAGAUAUAAGAGAGUUUUUCCAAUUUAAGUGACAUAAAUCGAAAUUGGAUUAUUCAUUUUUUUCAGAUCGCCACUUGGAAUAAUUUAUUUGGUGUCCCAAGUCACCGGUUUAUUUUAAAUCCCAAAUCGAGGAAAAUCGACUUUAUUUAAAAUUUUGCGAAACCAGAAAUUCUAGAUAAGGAAUUCUGUUAACCCGGGAGAAGGUGUUAGGCAUUCCCGGGUUCUAUGGUUCGAGCACGGUCGCUUAAACUAUUAAAAUUGGCCUAAUUAUCUAAUUUACUACAUGUUUUAAACCUAGUGUGUGUUUUUAAACUUUUAAACCACUUUUAAUUAUUUUAUGGAAUUAUUCUGGAACAAGUUGCGAUUGUCGCACACUUGUUUGUUUGAUACACAUUGCGAAUCAUGUCACAGGAAGCGUACCUAUGAUCUACAACAUGUUUAAUUUAUUAAAGUUAUUAGAAGUUGUGGCUGAGUCAGAUAUAUGUACCCCUAGAUUUGGAAAUUAUGUAUCACAACUACGUCAAGGGAACCGUACCCGUAGCUAUGAUAAUUUUAUUAUAAACGCGCCUAAAGCAAACUACAAAUGUUCAAAGUAUUUUCUACACCAGUCAUAAUAUUAAUGUGAGGGUCAUAGAUUAGGUGAUUCAAUUUGAAUAGCACGCCAUGAUUUAUUUUAAAAGAUUUGUACUUAAUUAAAGCAAACUAAGGAAAUUCAUAUUUAAAACUAUCUUGAAAUUCAAUAUAAGGUUAUUAAUUAUAUACAUGCUUUGGGGUAUAUGUGUUGGACCAUUAUUUUAAAUAAGGGAAUUGGGCUAGCAGUGGCCCAUUGGGUAUUUGGUCAGGGGCAAAUCAUCAUUGGAACUGUAUUGGGCUCAGAAAUUGGUCCAGCAAUAAAGAAAUUCAAGGGCUCUUGCCAAAUUUGAUUUUAACCAAGUCUCGCCCACAUUGGGCUUGCAUUACUGGCUGGGCCCAUCUACCUUUGCAUUUUAAAGACAAACUUACAUAAUACACGUUUGCAAAAGUUGUAACUCAAUUCACUUUCAAGUAGGAAACUCAGUCUAGAAAUCAAAAUACAAUUCAUGUUUGAAAAUUUAUUACACUACACAUAAUUUGCAAAACAUAAAAGACAUGCAUCUAUACUAUAGUUCACAAGAGAAACAUUUACAACUGAGCCAAGCUAUUGGGUUUAAUGCCCAAGCCCAAUGGCCUAGGCCCAAACUUGUCGAGAUUUGCUUUUCCCCAUCUGGGCUCAAUCGCAAGUCUGGCCCAGCUUUAGUCACAGAAGCAUGCCUUUUAGCCUUGAAGAUUUGGCUCAUAGCCUUGGCCAUUGCACCACUAUGCUUACGAAAUACAAUAACAGAAUAAUUACACUCCUAAUCAGCAGUUGUUUUAAAUCUCAGUACAUGAAAUCAGGACCUAAUUUAUUACAACACACUAGAUAAAAUAAAAGCUUUUCAAAAUUACAUUAUGACCUAUUAAUACAUAAACUACUGCAUUAGCAACUAAUCUAUUACAACUUCCAUGUAAUUAAUAACCCAAUGAACACCUGCCUCUUUUGGACAUGAUUUAUCCAUAAGUUUGGUCCAUCACAUGAAAACACCAGAUUCAGCAUGCUACCAACAGUAGAAUUUUAACUCUUAGCUUUUGAACCUGCUGAUUUGACCAACUAGUGGCCAAAUCCAAAGGUUAUAGCUUAUGGUUAGCAAACAGGCCCAAAAUGACUUCAAGUAAACACCAUGUUAUUCAUUAACAGAAGAAUAAGGGGAAGAAAUGACUUCAACAACUAAUACUCAAAAUUAGAAGAAACUAAAGAAACACUUUAAACAGAGUUACUUUCAAGAGGAAACUACAAACAUCAAUGUGUUAAUCAAGCUACUCCUACCAAACGAUUUCAAGCUCAAACUUGUAUAAUAAAAGAUUGAUCAGAUCCCUAUCCAUGUAAUCAACAACUAACAUGAAAAUACUCAUUUAUCACAUAUAACUUGCAAUUUUUGGUCUCAUAUUAUUUAAAACAACAGUACAUGAAGAAGGUUAAGGUCAGUACCUUGAAAAACAGCAAAAACAGCAACAAAAACAAAUUCUAGCUGAAUCUUAGAGAUGGAGCAACAACAAAACCCAAACAGUAGCAGUCAAGAACCAACCUACAAAACCAAAAACCAAGCACCCAAAAAUUCUCAGAAAUCAGAGUAUUUGAGAAACCUGCCUUAAAAGCUAACCAGGAGAGCUGAUUCUUUCUCCAGAAAAGUUUUUAAGGAUUUUUUCUUCGUAUUCUGAAAUUUUUAAGUGCAGAAUGCCGAUGAAUCCCCCUUUAGAAUAAGUGAAUGCUUUUAUUUUUAUAGAGUGCACAAAGAUGGCAUCAAAAUGGAAUAUUUUAACCUAAAUUCUGAAAUUUCAAAAUAGUACAACAUCUCUGGAUAGCUGUAUGUCCUUUUUGCCACCCAAUUUUAGCACAUUUUUACUAAGAAUGGGGCAGCUGUCUAAAAUCUAGAACAUUCUGAUUUUUUCCUUAUGUGAAACCCCACUUUUACCCUUUCGAUUGCUAGAUAUUUCAAUUAUAAACAAAUCUGAUCCUAUUGAGAUUCUAAAAAUCUAAUUAGGACUUUCUAGAAUCAACUAGAUGAUUAGGGUUUCAUAAACUUGCUUCAAUUUGUAGCCCUAGGUAUUCACAUUCUAUUUCUGAAAUUAAACUAAGGUAUAAGUUUCAAUUCUAAGGUUUAAACCUAAUUGACAAGUUUUAUCUAACUAAUCCUAAACAAAAUUUCAUUUAAUUUGUAACCAAACAACAACUAUCAAAAAUCCAGAAUGCUUAAUGCAAAGAAAACACAGACAUCAACCUCAACUAGUUUCAAUUAAACAGAUUAAAUCAAGCUAAGGCUAAGGUUUUCUAAAGCUAAUCAGGAAUCGGCUAAAUAGGCUAUCAAUUAACUCUUAACAUUAUCCUAAUCAACUUAAAUAAACAUUGAAACAAACAUAAGAGAGAAACAAACACAAAAGGAAAAACAGAACAAAUAAUUUAUCAAAACAUUAAACCUAAUUAAACCUGAACCUAAGCAAAUAGAAUUUCCAAUGACUAAAUUUUAAAAAUAUGUUUCAGUUAUUCUAAUAAAAUAGAUGUCAGUAAUCAAAUUAACAGCCAAACAAAAAGAGAAAACCUAAAUCAUGCGGCUAGAUAAGAAACUGAAUAUGCAAAAAGAAACAAAAACAAAAACAAGCAGGAGAGUGAAAGAAUUACCUAAAUUCAUUUUAAAAUACUCCACCAGCUACGAAUUUUGACCAAGCUUCCAUAGGGUAACAUGAACUUGAACUAACAUUAAUCGACUAUUCUUAACAAGAACAGUUGAUUAAUGAAAGUUUAGGGUUCAAACAACCAAUCAUUGACCGGAAAUUAGAAUAGGGGAAAAAGUUAGGGUUCAUGGGAUCUUAGAUUUGAGAUUCGAAGAAAUUUGCGGGGAUCUUUGGGAAAUUGACUGUAUUUUAGGGUUCAGAGGGGUGUGAGGAGUGUGGGGUGCGAUUUUGGGGUGAUUUGGACAAUUUAGGGUUUGGAUCUCAUUUUUAAAUCUAAAAUUGGUGGAUUUGGAUUGUGAUUUUGGGGAAAUGGACAGUGGGAUAGUGUAGAAUGGAGGCUAAGGAUUGUGCAGGGUGAAUUUGGGGGGAUUUGAUAAAGCUCCGCCGCCGCAAGGUGAUUUUCGGGCAGCGGCGCCGGCGGAGGAUAUAUAGACGGCUAGGGUUUAUUCUCUUUGAGAGAUGAGAAACUGAGCUGUAUUUUUGGGGUUAGGGGGAGGGUUGUUCGGACAGUAAUAUACAAAAGGGACAAUCAGUUCCCAGCUGUUAGACAUGGGAGAUCAAUGGCUCGGAUUAAAACCAAACAAAACAAACAAUCAAACAAGCAACUCAUCAUACUAACCAAACAAGCAACUCCGAAGCAAAUGAAGUGCACCAACAUCUUUUGCUGAGCUGAUAGCCUACUUAGAUGGCUCUCGACCUGUCUAUCGGGACCUGCGGGCAUGAAACGUAGCAUCCCCAAGUAAAAGGGACGUCAGUACAAAUAAUUUACCAAGUAUGUAAGGAAUGAAAAUCAGUAAAUAAUAAACAUGAGAGAAACAUGGAGUAAAGGACUCGACAUGUAAGUCUGAAUAACUCUGUAAAUAAUGAAAUACUCGUAGAGUUAUGCAUAUGCGUAUGUAUGUAAGGUCACGCAUAGGUACAUGUGUUCAUAAUAUCAUCAAACCUCUGAGGNNNNNNNNNNNNNNNNNNNNNNNNNAUUUGAAAUACGUUAAUAAAAUCUCUUGGAAUGCCAUAAAAAUCAAUAUGCCUUUCGGAUAAACUUUAUUAAAUACGUAUUUUACUGAGACCCAUGAAUAGAAGAUAUAAUAAUAAUUCUCAUGGGAAACCAAGAAUAUAGACACCCCUAGUAUUUUUAUGAAUAGAGUUGUUUAUGGAAGUUGUGCAUUUGCUUGUUUCGUUCAUGUCGUAUAAGUCAUCCCAAAAAGAAAGAAGAGAUAACCUAACAUACCUGAGUCGAUUCUCUUGACAAUCCCUCUAACACACAUCAAUUGCGACAAAUCACAUAACGGCGGAUCGAAGUAGGGGAAAUCCGUAUGAUAUUCUUGAGAAAGAUUGCACCGUUCUCCCUUAGUGUUUGUAAUUCACGUUGCAAUAGCUUUGUAAAAAUUCACAUGAAUUCUUUGUUAAAGUUUUGUAAUUCACGUUGUAACAUGUCACGACCCCAAAUACCCGAUCGUGAUGGCGCCUAUCACAAUACUAGGCAAGCCAAACCAACAAGUAACCACAGUCAAUUUCUUUUAUGAAAAACAUUUUUCUAAUAUUUAGUUAAGUCUCAAUUUUCAUAAGGAAUUCAUAAUUCACUGAAAUGUGCGGAAAACAUUAUAGAAAAUAGACCAACACAACCCAAACAUCUGGUGUCACGAGUCUAGAGCCUCUAAAUGCAUAGUCCGACUGUCUACUACAUAACAAUUCUAAAAAUGAAUAAAAGGAAGGAUAGGAAGGAGGAAAGCAGGGUUGCGGACGCCGUGCAGCUACCCUGCAAUCUCCGAUAAGCUCUGGAAAUGCUGACAACCCUCACUCUGCUUCUCGGGCACCUGGAUCUGCACGCAAAGUGCAGGGAGUAACGUGAGUACGCCAACUCAGUAAGUAAGUAAAGUAAAUAAGGUCUGAAAGCAGUGACGAGCAGUUAAAAAUCAUAUAAAAGAGUAAACAACAGAAUAUCAAGUCAAACUCAACAGUUUUAAAACUAGUUUCUUCAUAAAGCUUCAAUUUCAUGAAAUACUUUGAAUUCAUUUACUUAGCAGUUUUCAACAGAGGCUCAUUAUAAAAGGAGAGUAAAAUCAGCAAAACUAUCAUAAAUGGGCCCCUCAGGCAAUGUAUCACUCAUAAAUAUAGCCUCUCGGGCAAGCCUCUCAGUCACUCGUGACUCAGCUCUUGUCACUCAGUACUCACACUCAACACUCAGGCUCAAAUACAUCACAUAAUUGUAAUAAUCGUAAUAACCGAUGCGGCGUGCAGCCCGAUCCAUAGUUUAAUAGUUUACUAUGCACACUAGGGGUGUAUAGACUCUAGAGGGGCUCCUACAACCCAAGCAUCAUACGAUGCGGCGCAUAGCCCGAUCCAAUAUAUAUAUCGCUGCGGCGUGCAGCCCGAUCCAUAUAAUCAUCGCUGCGACGUGCAUCCCGAUCCAUAAUAUAUACAUAUAAUAUUGUUGCGUUGUGCAGCCCGUUCCGUAAUAUUUAUAAUCCUCACCAUUAGGUCCUCAACCUCUCUCAGUCAUUAACCUCACAUCCACUCGGGCAUAACAAUGGAAAUCACGGAACUCAGUCCAAACAGUUCUCACAUUUUAAGAAGUAGAGUGAUAAAACCAUUUUUAAACAAUAAACAGGUAAAACAUGACUGAGGAUAUGCUUUCAAACAAAUAGAGUGAGGAAAACAGUAAAAAUGCCCCUAAGGGUCUCAACAGGUCAGCACAAGGCCCCAAACAUGGCAUACAACCCAUAAUACAGUAUAAACUUCUACAAUACGGGGUAUCAUAAGAUUUCAAAUCAAGUAUGCGGCUUAAUAGUCGCUACGGGACGGACCAAGUCAUAAUCCCUACGGGUGCACGCCCACACGCUCAUCACCUAGCAUGUGCGUCACCUCAUUUAUAAAACAAUACGAAAUAUCGGGAUUUUGUACACUCAGUUCCAGAUUUACAAUGGUUACUUACCUCAAACCGGAUGAAAUACUACUCUACAACGCCUUUUCCUCUCGCCUCGGCCUCAACUCGUGCCGAAUCUACCCAAAAUCAGAAUCAUAACAUUAGAAUAUGCUAAGGGAUCAAAGCCCAAGCGAAAAUAAUCAAAUUAUACCAAAAAUCCCGAAAUUGGUCCAACCCGACCCCCGAGCCCACAUCUCGAAAUUUGAUAAAAACCACAUCAACGGAAUCCUUAUCCUCCCACGAGUCAUACAUACCAAGAAUACCAAAAUCCGACCACAAAUGACCCCUCAAAUCCCUAGAUUAAAGUCACGAGUUUUCAAGCCCUAACUCCCCAAUUUAAGCUUCAAAUCCCCCAAAUUUCAUGUUUAAUUAGGUAGAAAUCACAAUAGGAUCGAGUAUUAAGUCCAAAAUUCUUACCUCCUAUAAGUUCUCUUUGAUUCCCUCUUCAAUCUCUCUAAAAAAGCUCCAAAACCGAGUAAAAUAAGGUGAACUUAGGCCAGAAAUCGCAAAAAUGGCCUUUUAAACAUUCUGCCCAGCGAUCAGAAAUCCUUCAUCACGAACGCGGUCAAAGCCUCGUGUUCACAAAGCAAAAGUUGCCAUUGACCAAAACUUAUCUUACGUGAAUGCGACCACCCCAUCGCGAGUGCGAUACUUUAGCCAAUCGAACCUUCGCAAACGCGAUAUAACCAUCGCGAAUGCGGUGAACAAUGACCCGACCCUUCGUGAAUGCGGGACCCACAUCGCGAACGCAAAGGCCAAUGCUCCUGCCUCACACCCCAACCCUUUGCGAACGUGAGGGUCCACUUACGAACGCGAAGCACAAUUUGUCUCCAACACUACAACAGAUUCUGCAAUUUUCCUUAACUUGAAAUGGUCANNNNNNNNNNNNNNNNNNNNNNNNNNNNNNNNNNNNNNNNNNNNNNNNNNNNNNNNNNNNNNNNNNNNNNNNNNNNNNNNNNNNNNNNNNNNNNNNNNNNNNNNNNNNNNNNNNNNNNNNNNNNNNNNNNNNNNNNNNNNNNNNNNNNNNNNNNNNNNNNNNNNNNNNNNNNNNNNNNNNNNNNNNNNNNNNNNNNNNNNNNNNNNNNNNNNNNNNNNNNNNNNNNNNNNNNNNNNNNNNNNNNNNNNNNNNNNNNNNNNNNNNNNNNNNNNNNNNNNNNNNNNNNNNNNNNNNNNNNNNNNNNNNNNNNNNNNNNNNNNNNNNNNNNNNNNNNNNNNNNNNNNNNNNNNNNNNNNNNNNNNNNNNNNNNNNNNNNNNNNNNNNNNNNNNNNNNNNNNNNNNNNNNNNNNNNNNNNNNNNNNNNNNNNNNNNNNNNNNNNNNNNNNNNNNNNNNNNNNNNNNNNNNNNNNNNNNNNNNNNNNNNNNNNNNNNNNNNNNNNNNNNNNNNNNNNNNNNNNNNNNNNNNNNNNNNNNNNNNNNNNNNNNNNNNNNNNNNNNNNNNNNNNNNNNNNNNNNNNNNNNNNNNNNNNNNNNNNNNNNNNNNNNNNNNNNNNNNNNNNNNNNNNNNNNNNNNNNNNNNNNNNNNNNNNNNNNNNNNNNNNNNNNNNNNNNNNNNNNNNNNNNNNNNNNNNNNNNNNNNNNNNNNNNNNNNNNNNNNNNNNNNNNNNNNNNNNNNNNNNNNNNNNNNNNNNNNNNNNNNNNNNNNNNNNNNNNNNNNNNNNNNNNNNNNNNNNNNNNNNNNNNNNNNNNNNNNNNNNNNNNNNNNNNNNNNNNNNNNNNNNNNNNNNNNNNNNNNNNNNNNNNNNNNNNNNNNNNNNNNNNNNNNNNNCGCGAUAUAACCAUCGCGAAUGCGGUGAACAAUGACCCGACCCUUCGUGAAUGCGGGACCCACAUCGCGAACGCAAAGGCCAAUGCUCCUGCCUCACACCCCAACCCUUUGCGAACGUGAGGGUCCACUUACGAACGCGAAGCACAAUUUGUCUCCAACACUACAACAGAUUUCUGCAAUUUUCCUUAACUUGAAAUGGUCAGUUCAACCAUCCGAAACUCCCCCAAGGCCCUCGGGACCUCAAUCAAACAUGCCAACAUAUCCCAUAACCUCAUUCAAACUUGUUCCAACCUUCGGAAUUCCCAAAAGAAUAUCAAAACACCAAAAUCACAUCGGAUUCAAGACUAAGAAUUCCAAAAACUUCCAAAUUCUGCUUUCGAUCAAAAAGUCUAUAAAACCACGUCUGAAUGGCCUGAAAUUUUGCACACACAUCCCAAACGACACAACAGACCUACUGCAACUCCCGGAAUUCUAUUUCGACCCCUAUAUCAAAAUCUCACCUAUCAACCGAAAAACGCCAAAAUUCCAAUUUCGCCAAUUCAAGCCUAUAUCUACUCCGGACUUCCAAAACACAUUCUGAUCAUGCUCCUAAGUCCCAAAUCACCACCCGAAGCUAUCCGAACCAUCAGAAUUCAUAUCCAAGCCCUUUUUCACAUAAGUGAACAUCCGGUUGACUUUUCCAACUUAAGCUUACUCAAAAAAGACUAAGUGUCUCAAACCUUACCAAAACCCCUCCGAACCCAAACCAAUCAACCCGAUAACGUAUAAUACAACUGAACAAAGCAAUAAGAAGCAGAAACGGGGAAAAUGGAGUGGUAAUUCAUGAAACGACCGGCCGGGUCAUUACAUCCUCCCCCUCUUAAACAAAAAUCCGUCCUCGAACGAGUCAAGGAAUAUACCUGAAGCCUCAAAUUGGUGAGGAUAUCUACUCUGCAUCUCCCACUCGAUCUCCCAGGUAGCCUACUCCACCGGCCGAUCUCUCCACUGCACUUCACUGAAGCUAUAUCUUUUAACCUCAACUUUUGAACUUGACGCUCCAAAGUAGCUACUAGCUCCACAUCAUAAGUCAAAUCAUCAUCCAACUGAACCGUGUUGAAAUCCAAAAUAUGAGACGGAUCGCCAAUAUACUUUCGGAGCAUAGAAACAUGAAAUACCGGAUGAACACUCGAUAAGCUAGGUGGAAAAGCAAGCUUAUAAGCCACCUCCCCAAUCCUCUGAAGCACCUCAAAAGGCCUAAUGAACCGAGGACUCAAUUUACCCUUCUUCCCAAACCUCAUAACACCCUUCAUGGGUAAAACCUUCAAUAGAACCUUCUCACCAACCAUGUAGGACACAUCCCGAACCUUCCUGUCAGCAUAACACUUUUGUCUCAACUGCACUGUAUGAAGCCUCUCCUAAAUCACCUUCACCUUGUCUAAAGCAUCCUGCACCAAGUCUAUACCCAAUAGCCUAUCCUCACCCGGCUCAAACCAACCAACUGGAGAUCUACACCGCCUCCCAUACAAAGCCUCAUAUGGAGCAAUCUGAAUACUUGACUGGUAACUGUUGUUAUAACCAAACUCUGCGAGCGGUAGAAACUGAUCUCAUGACCCUCCGAAAUUAAUGACACAAGCCCACAACAUGUCCUCCAAUAUCUAAAUAGUGCGCUCGGACUGCCCGUCCGUUUGAGGGUGAAAAGUUAUACUCAACUCCACCUGAGUACCCAACUCUCGCUGCACAGACCUCCAAAACUGUGAAGUAAACUGAGUGCCCCUAUUUGAAAUGAUGGAAAUUGUGACACCAUGCAAACGAACAAUCUCCUGGAUAUAGAUCUUUGUCAACUGCUCUGAAGAAUAGGUAGUACACAUAGGAAUGAAGUGCACGGACUUGGUCAGCCGAUCCACAAUCACCCAAAUAGCAUCGAACUUCUUCAAAGUCCGUGGGAGCCCAACUACAAAGUCCAUGGUGAUCCGCUUCCACUUCCACUCUAAAAUAUCCAUCUGCUGGAGUAAGCCACCCGGUCUCUUAUGCUGAUAUUUCACCUGCUGACAGUUGACACCGAGCCACGAAUCCCACAAUGUCUUUCUUCAUUCUUCUCCACCAAUAAUGUUGUCUCAGAUCCUGAUACAUCUUCGCAGCACCCAGAUGAAUGGAAUACCGCAAGCUAUGGGCCUCUUCUAGAAUCAACACCCGAAGCCCAUCCAUAUUAGGCACACAUAUCCGGCCCUGCAUCCCCAACACCCCAUCAUCACCAAUAGUCACAUCUCUAGCAUCAUCGUGGUGAACUCUGUCUUUAAGGACAAGCAAAUGAGGAUCAUCAUACUGGCGCUCUCUGAUGCGAUCAAAUAUGGAAGACCAAGAAAUCACACAAGCCAAUACCCGACUAGGCGCUGAAAUAUCUAACCUCACGAACCGAUUGGCCAAAGCCUGAACAUCAACUAUAAAAGGUCUCUCCCCAACUGGAAUAUAUGCCCAACUCCCCAUGCUCACCGCCUUCCGGCUCAAAGCAUCGGCUACCAUAUUGGCUUUUCCCGGAUGGUACAAAAUAGUAAUAUCAUAAUCUUUUAAAAACUCCAACCAUCUCCGCUGCCUCAAAUUGAGAUCCUUCUGCUUGAACAAGUGCUGGAGGUUACGAUGAUUAGUAAACACCUCACAAGACACACCAUACAAAUAAUGCCUCCAAAUCUUCAACGCAACAACAAUGGUAGCCAACUCCAAAUCAUAAACAUGGUAGUUCUUCUCAUGAGGCUUCAACUGACGAGAAGCAUAAGCAAUAACUCUACCCUCCUACAUCAACACACACCCAAUACUAAAUCUCGAAGCAUUACAAUACAUAGUAUAUGAACCUGAAGCUGAUGACAACACUAACACUAGAGCUGUGGUCAAGGCCGUCUUAAGUUUCUGAAAGUUAUCCUCGCACUUAUCCAAGCACCUGAAUAAAACACCCUUCUGAGUCAACUUGGUCAAGGGCGAUGCGAUAGAUGAGAAUCCCUGAACAAACUGAUGAUAAUAGCCCGCCAAACCAAGAAAGUUGUGAAUCUCUAUAGCUGAGGACGGUCUGGGUCAACUUUGGACUGCCUCUAUCUUCUUUGGAUCAACCUGAAUACCCUCACUGGACACCACGUGCCCCAAGAAAUCCAUUGAACUGAGCCAAACCUCACACUUGGAGAACUUUGCAUAAAGCUUCUCCUCCUUCAAUCUAUGCAACACAACUCUCAAAUGCUCUGUGUGCUCCUCCUAACUAUGCGAAUACACCAGGAUAUCAUCAAUAAAAACUAUGACAAAUGAGUCGAGAUACGACCGGAACACGCUAUUCAUCAAGUGCAUAAAUGUUGCUGGGGCAUUGGUCAGUCCAAAAGACAUUAGUAAGAACUCAUAAUGAUCAUAUCGUGUCCUGAAAGCCAUCUUAAGAAUAUUCGAGUCCCUGAUCUUCAACUGGCGAUAACCUGAAUAGAGAUCAAUCUUGGAGAACACUCUCGCUCCUUGAAGCUGGUCAAACAAACCAUCAAUGCGAGGCAGGGGAUAUUUGUUCUUAAUUGUAACCUUGUUCAACUUCCUGCAAUCAAUGCACAUCCUUAUAGUGCUAUCCUUCUUCUUCAUAAAUAGAACCGGCACACCCCAAGGCGACACGGUAGGCCGAAUGAACCCCUUAUCAAGGAGUUCCUGAAGCUUCUCUUUUAACUUUUUCAACUUCGCUGGUACCAUACGAUACGGUGGAAUAGAAAUGGGUUGAGUGUCCGGCACCAGAUCAAUACCAAAAUCAAUAUCCUUGUACGGUGGCAUACCCGGCAGGUCUGCAGGAAACACAUUGGGAAAAUCCCCUACAACUGGAAUAGAAUCAAUACUGGGAGUCUAUGUACCGACAUCCCUCACAAAGUAUAAAUACGAAAGACAACCCUUCCCAACCAUAAAUUGGGCCUUCAGAAACAAAAUCACCCUACUGGGGACAAAAUCAGUAGAACUUCGCCACUUAAUCCAUGGCACACACGGCAUAACCAACGUCACUAUCUUAGCAUGACAGUCAAAAAUAGCACGACAAGGAGAUAGCCAAUCCAUGCAAAAUAUAACAUCGAAGUCUGCCAUGCAUAACAACAACAGAUCCACUCGGGUCUUCAAACCCCCAAUAGUCACCACACACGACCGGUACACAUUGUCUAUAAUAACAGUAUCACCCACCGGAGUAGAUACACGAACAAGUGAAACAAGAGACUCACGGGGCAUUUUCAAUAACGAGCAAAGUAUGAUGACACAUAAGAAAAUGUGGAACAGGGAUCAAAUAACACAAAGGCAUCUCUACGACAGACAGAGACAAUACCUGUAAUUACAACAUCUGGUCUACAUAGAAGGGCAUAGAAACGAGCCUGACCACCACCUGAUCGACCUCCCGCUAUAGGGCGACCCCUAGCUAACUGACCCCAACCCCUAGCUGCCUAAGUGGGUGGUGAAGUAGCUGGAGCUGAAGUCGAGGGCUAACCCUUUUGCUGAGACGGACCCUCAAGAAGACGAGGACACUGCCUCCUUGUAUGCCCAAACUCUCCACACUCAUAACAACUCCCCGGUGCUAGAGACGGGGACUAAAGGGAACCCCUGGCACUGGAAUGACCAGUAGAAGGAUCUGGCAUAGAAGAAACCUGAACUGAUGGAGCACAUGACAAACUCUGAGCUAGAAAGGCACUAGUGAUGAAUGGCCCUAAUAAGAACUGUGAGAACCAUGACCCGAUGAUGCCCCACGAUAACCUGGGUGAGCUGACUGAGCCUGCCUGAAUGAACGGACCCUACUGUGCCGAAACUGAUCUCUCGCAGGAGCACUACCAAAGCUACCAGAUCCCCGAGGCUUCUUGGCCUCCCUCUCAUCUCGCUCCUAGCGAAGAACUGACUCAAUCUCGCGGGUGAUGUCAACAACCUCCUCAAAAGUAGCACCUGACACCCUCUCCCUAGUCAGGAGAAUCCGAAGCUAAUAUGUGAGGCCAUUAACAAACCUCCUAAUCCUCUCUCGAUCUGUGGGACCCAAUCUCAUAUGUGAGGCCAUCUCAUAUUGUGUCACAGACAUAUCUCCCUGACGCAACUACUCGAACUGCCUGCGUAGCUCCUCUUGGCGAGAUUGUGGCACAUACUUUUCUAGAAAGAGAACAGAGAACUGCUGCCAGGUAAGGGGCGCUGCACCAACAGGCCUACUCCUCUUAUAAGCCUCCCAUUAAGUAAAUGCAGCUCCAGAAAGCUGAAAGGUAGUAAAUGCUACACCACUGGUCUCUAGAAUACCCACUGUACGAAGAAUCCUCUAACACUUAUCCAAGAAACCCUGGGCAUCCUCGCUCUUAGUAUCGCUGAAAGUCGGAGGCUGAAGUCUACCAAACCUCUCCAAUCGACAUUGCUCGUUGUCAGACAUAAUUGGUACCACAUACUCCUGAGCUGGUGCAACCGGCUGGGCUGGAGGUGCCCCUAGUAUCUGAAGUCCCUACACAACCUGCUCAGAUGUGCAAGCAACGGGAGUCUAAGUACCUCCCCCGGCUUAAGAAGUAGUUGGGGCCGUAGUGACUGAGAUCGCCUGAGCUGAACUAGUGCACACUGAUAGAAUAUGAGCUAGAGCCUCCUGAAGGCCUGGAAUCACAAUAGGCACAGCUGGUGCCUGAGCUGGUGCUGCUGGAGCAUCCGCAACUGGACCUGAUCAUGAACUGGGGUAGCUAGUGGAUUUGUAGGUGCUGCCCUAGCUGUUGUGCGGACUACACCCCUGCCCCUACAACGGCCUCGACCGCGUUCCCGACCUCUAGUUGUCCCCGCUGGUGGUAUUGGUGGUCGUCCAUCCUGACCGGUAGCAUGUGUUCUCACCAUUUGUGAGAGAAUGGAAUAGAAUUUUAGUACUCGGAUCAACAGAUUCGCACGACAAUAAUUUCAAGAAUAUGAAGUUUCUCCUAAAGGUUCUGCAGCCUCCCAAGGAUAAGUACAGAUGUCUCCAUACCAAUCUGCGAGAUUCUACUAAAUCGGCUCAUGACUCAUGAGACCUAUUUAACCUAGGCUCUGAUACCAACUUGUCACGAUCCCAAAUACCCGAUCGUGAUGGCGCCUAUCAUAAUACUAGGCAAGACAACCCAACAAGUAACCAUAGUCAAUUUCUUUUACGAAAAACAUUUUUCUAACAUUUAGUUAAGUCUCAAUUUUCAUAAGGAAUUCAUAAUUCACUAAAAUGUGCAUAAAACAUUAUAGAAAAUAGACCAACACAUCCCAAACAUCUAGUAUUACGAGUCUAGAGCCUCUAAAUAUACUGAUCCGAUUGUCUACUACAUAACAAGUCUAAAAAUGUAGAAAAACAAGGAUAGGAAGGAGGAAAGCAGGGUUGCGGACGCCGUGCAGCUACCUUGAAAUCUCCGAUAAGCUCUGAAAAUGCUGAGAACCCUCACUCUGCCGCUCGGGCACCUGGAUCUGCACACAAGGUGUAGGAAGCAAUGUGAGUACGCCAACUCAGUAAGUAACUAAAGUAAAUAAGGUCUGAAAGCAAUGACGAGCAGUUAAAAAUCAUAUAAAAGAGUAAACCAUAGAAUAUCAAGUUAAACUCAACAGUUUUAAAACCAGUUUCUUCAUAAAGCUUCAGUUUCAAUUGAAAUACUUUGAAAUUAUUUACUUCACAGUUUUCAACAGAGGCUUAUUAUAAAAGGAGAGUGAAAUCAGCAAAACUAUAAUAAAUGGACCCCACGGGCAAGGUAUCACUCAUAAAUAUAGCCUCUCGGGCAAGUCUCUCAGUCACUCGUGACUCAACUCUCGUCACUCAGUACUCACACUCAGCACUCAGGCUCAACUACACCUCAUAAUAGUAAUAAUCAUAAUAACCGCUGCUCUGCAGCCUGAUCCAUAGUUUAUAGUUGACUACACACACUAGAGGUGUACGAACUCUAUAGGGGCUCCUACAGCCCAAGCAUCAUAUUGCUUCGGCGCGCAACCCAAUCCAAUAUAUAUAUCGAUGCGGCGUGCAGCCCGAUCCAUAUAAGUAUCGCUACGACGUGCAGCCUGAUCCAUAAUAUAUACAUAUAAUAUUGUUGCGGUGUGCAGCUCGAUCCGUAAUAUUUAUAAUCCUCACCAUUAGGUCCUCAACCUCUCUCAGUCAAUAACCUCACAGCCACUCGGGCAUAAUAGUGGAAAUCAGGGAACUCAGUCCAUAGAGUUCUCACAUUUUAAGAAGUAGAGUGAUAAAACCAGUUUUAAAUAAUAAAUAGGUAAAACAUGACUGAGGAUAUUCUUUCAAACAAAUAGAGUGCUGAAAACAGUAAAAAUGCCCCUAAGGGUCUCAAUAGGUCGGCACAAGGCUCCAAACAUGGCAUACAACCCAUAAUACAGUAUAAAUUUCUAAAAUACGGGAUAUCAUAAGAUUUCAAUUCAAGUACGCGGCUUAAUAGUCGCUACAGAACGGACCAAGUCACAAUCCCUACCGGUGCACGCUCACACUCUCGUCACCUAGCAUGUGCGUCACCUCAUUUAUCAAAACAAUACGAAAUACCGAGAUUUUGUACCCUCAAUUCCAGAUUUACUAUGGUUACUUACCUCAAAUCGAAUGAAAUUCUACUCCGCAAUGCCUUUGCCUCUCGCCUCGGCCUUAACUCGCGCUGAAUCUACCCAAAAUCAGAAUCAUAAUACUAGAAUAUGCUAAGGGAUCGAAGCCCAAGCGAAAAUAAUCAAAUUAUACCAAAAAUCCCAAAAUUGGUUCAACCCGACCCCCAGGCCCACGUCUCGAAAUUUGAUAAAAUUUACAUCAAUGGAAUCUUAUCCUCCCACGGGAUCAUACAUACCAAGAAUACCAAAAUCCGACCACAAAUGACCCCUCAAAUCCCUAGAUUAAAGUCUCAAGUUUUCAAGGCCUAACUCCCCAAUUUAGGCUUCAAAUCCCCCAAAUUUCAUGUUUAAUUAGAUAGAAAUCAAAAUAGGAUCGAGUAUUAACUCAAAAAUUCUUACCUCCAAUAAUUUCUCUUUGAAUCCCUCUUCAAUCUCUCUCAAAAAGCUCCAAAACCGAGUCAAAAAUAGUAAACUUAGGCCAGAAAUCACGAAAAUGACCUUUUAAACAUUCUGCCCAGCGAUCAGAAAUCCUUCUUCGCAAGCGCGGUCAAAACCUCGCAUUCGCGAAGUACAAAAUGCCAUUGACCAAAAAUUCUCUUACAAGAAUGCGACCACCCCAUCACGAACGCGAUGCUUCAGCCACUCGAACCUUCGCGAGCGCGAUAUACCCAUCGCGAAUGUGAUGAACAAUGACCCGGCCCUUUGCGAACGUGGGACUCACAUCGCGAACGCCAAGGCCAAUGCUCCUGCCUCACACCCCAACACUUCGCGAACACGAGGGUCCACUCGCGAACGUGAAGCACAAUUUGUCUGCAACACUACAGCAGGUUUCUGCAAUUUUCCGUAACUUGAAAUGGUCCGUUCAACCAUCCAAAACUUACUCGAGGCCUUCGGGACCUCAACCAAACAUGCCAACAUAUCCCAUAACCUCAUUCAAACUUGUUCCAACCAUCAGAACGCCCAAAACAACAUUAAAACACCAAAAUCACAUCGGAUUCAAGCCUAAGAAUUCCAAAAACUUCCAAAUUCCGCUUUCGAUUAAAAAGUCUAUCAAACCACAUCCGUAUGACCUGAAAUUUUGCAUAAACAUCCCAAACGACACAACAGACCUGCUGCAACUCCCAAAAUUCCAUUCCGACCCCAAUAUAAAAAUCUUACCUAUCAACUGGAAAACGUCAAAAUUCUAAUUUCGCUAAUUCAAGACUAAAUCUACUCCGGACUUCCAAAACACAUUCCGAUCACGCUCCUAAGUCCCAAAUCACCACCCCGAAGCUAUCUGAACCAUCGGAAUUCACAUUUGAUCCCUUUUUCACAUAAAUCAACAUCCGGUUGACUUUUCCAACUUAAGGUUACUCAAAAGAGACUAAGUGUCUCAAACCUUAUCAAAACCUCUCCGAACCCGAACCAAUCAACCCGAUAAUAUAUAAUACAACUAAAAAAAUAAUAAAAAGCAGAAAUAGGGAAAACAGGGCAGUAAUUCUUGAAACGACCGGUCGGGUCGUUACAUAACAACUCUCUUUUGGAGUCAUCACCUUAAUGUAAACAUUUCCAUUCCCUUUAAUGAUGUAGGGAGCUAGUUUGCUUAAUUAGAAAGUCUUAUGCCUUAGUGGGUAUGGGCCCCACUAAGUUGAUGACUUAGCCUCCAAAUAAGACACCUUAUCAAAUUAAAUUAAAAGUCAUCCCCUUGAUCAAGGUGUGCUGCCACGUUAUUUUUUAUAAAGCUUAUCCAAAAAAAUUAUCCACUUAUUCCUUAAUUACAUAGUUAAUCUUCCGCCAAAAAUUCACAAUUAGUCAAAUAUCCACAUAAUUGAGAAUUAUCUCAAAUUACUUAAAAUACUACUUACUUUUAUCACACUUUAUACAUCUUAUUAUCAUGGCCAUGUGGUAACUUGUAUGGUACUAGUCCAUAAAUACUGGGUAUUUUAGUUCGAGCCGUAUUUUAUCUCAAAAUGUCAAACUUCGACAAAAUUUAUUUUCUUUGAUUUGCUUACCCUCUCACCUUCACAAAUUUAUUCAUCACUUGUUUGAAAUAGCAUACUGCUUAUAAUCUCAAAAUAAUCCCAUUCUUGAAAAAUGUCUAUUUUAAAUCAUUUUAGUAUACAAAAUUAUUUUUCAAAAAUAAGCUGUUAUUUAUUAUAAAUUAUAUAGGGGAAAAUUGGCUAUUUAAAAUAUAGCCAGAUUUACAUUUCAAUUUGGCCCAAUUUAAACCCAACCCCAACCCAAUUUCAAAUUAAAAACACCUGACCUAAACACUGAACCCUCCUACCCGACCCAAGACCCGUCAAAUCCUGGUCGUUGAUCCAAAAGAUCAGCAACCCUCAUUUGUUCUUGCCAUUUUUAAUUCCGGCGACCCCCUAAACCCAUCUCAUUUCUCAAAUAUGCCGCCUAUGUAUUCUCUCAUCUCCUCUCCUCUCUCAACCCCUCAACCUAACCCUAGCUCCUUCAACCGCCGACCUUCUUCUCCGAUCUUCUCCGGUGAUCUCCCUUCAACUCCUAAGCCUCCAAUGGCUCCUCUAGCUUGCCUUAUCUAAGGUCUUCAAGGGCCCUGGGCCACGCCGACUUGCAUCUAGGGUUUUAUACUUGCCUGUUCUUGGUUUCUUUAGUAUUUCACACUUUUCUUGAAACUCCUUUACAAGAAUCAUCGAUUUCAAAGUGUUUCAUCUUCUACUAAAAUUAGUGUUUUCGGAACUUCAUUUAAAACUUUGGUUAAACUGAUUCUUUACUGCAUAUUUCGACCGAUUCUAUGAUUUUACUCCUUUUUCAACUCUCCUAUGUGGAAAGCCCUAAAUUUUUGAGAUUUCUUUGUUUUGUUCUCUGUGUUAGCAUGACUACUCGAUUCUUGUUUAAGUAUAUGUGAUUAUCUUGCCUCGAAUAUGUUCUUAAUGAGUUUUUAGCUUAACUUAUAUCACCUCUAUGUGAUUAUGUUCAUCUUGAUUGUUCAGACUUGCCUCUUUCUAUCAAUACUGUUUAACCUGCAUGUUUGCUAUGUCUGGUUGCUCUUACUCUAUUUAUAUGCUGAAUACUGAAUCAUAACCUCCUCUUUCAUUGAUUCUUGAUUCCCUAUUUUAUGGUUUGAUUUAAAGACCUUCCCUGAAACCCUCGAUUUCUACCUCUUCUAUUCAAAUUAACUGAUUCACCCACCUUGUCUGUUGUGGUACUUUAUUCUUACUGAACUAUUUCCUUAAUUGGAGUUUUCUGAACUUAGCCCUAAUUGCUUACCCUAUACUUACUGAAUUUGAUUCUUUCCUUACUAGUCAUACACUGAUUUCUUUCCUUAUAUGCUACUUAAUCUUACCGUUUGAAUUAAUUCCCUUAAAUUAAGGGAGUACUGGUCCUAAUUUUGCUCUAAUUGAUUCUGAGUUCCAUAAUUACUAUGCUACUAUAAUUCUUACCUUAUUUUUUUAAUCUAAUUUCGAACUGCUAUAUAUACAAAAUCUUUCAUUAACACAACACACAAACACUUUGGUUCAAAAGCUCUCUCUCACACUUAAACUUUCUGCUCUCUCUAUUGCGCUAGUUGCUACUAUUCUAAGUUAGCCAGCUGCAAGCCAAGGCUAACUACUGUGCUCUCCUGCUCCUUCACUUUUGUUUACUGUCUUCUCUACUGGUAUGUUCUAGUUUAAAUCCAAGGUCCAACAACUAUAUGGUUCUUUUAUUGCUUCAAUUCAUCCUGUUUCUAGUUUGCUUUUACUUAUGGUUUUGCUGUGAAACCUGCAGUUAAUAUGCUUACAUGAAUAGCAUGUUAUGAACUCCUAUUCCUUAGAAUUAGAAUGAGCAUGUUAUCCCUUCUAUGUAUUCUGUCUCCAUGUAAUCUUGCACUAUCUGGACUCUGAUAUGAAUCUCCUCAAUAUAGUCUGCACUCCUAACUUGUAUGGUUCUGGGAUUGAAUCAUGUGGAUCUUAUAUUGAACCCCCUUAAGAAUUGCUGGUUCUGUGACUAUGUUUGAUCAGUUGUGUCUGAGCAUGUUUGUACCCAUUACUAACACCUUUGCUUUAUGGGUUUACAAUCAUGUGUUCUAUGUAUUCCCAAAUCACUUGACCCCUAUUUGUGACUACUGAAUUUUCUUUCGUUCUAUGACCCCCGGCUGUGUAUGAACCUGUCUUAAGGGUUUUGUGUUUGGACUGUUGUUUACUACUCCACUCUCUUUUCAAACUGUCACUAUUGUUUUACUAAAUUAUUUCAAAUAAACUUCCUUUUAAUAUAGUUUUCCUACUGAAACUUUUCAACUUGUGUCAAGCACUUUCACUCUACUCCUAAGUCAAUAGGUUCUGCCCUCUCCAGUAUGUGUACUGCAUUGGAAUUCUCUUGAGAACCCUCUGAAGUCUGGCAUACUGAGGCUGGCCCUUCCCACACUACACUUAUUCAAUUUUGGUUACCAAGUCUAGGUGUAAGCCUUUCCCGGGAUCCUUGAGAUCCUUAGGGAACUUUGAUGCACCUAGACUAUGACAUUGUCUAUGGAAUUGAGGCAUUUGAGGCUAUUGGAGGCUUUGGAAAUCUGGGCCUAUCUGUAGGCUCCCUAUAGAAUAACUUCUUAUUUUCUUAUUUACUUAUGUAAUUAAUUCAUAUGGUCCGUAAUAACUUGUAAAUGAAUAAUGGGGUAAUUAAUGAAAAGGGUGGGUAGCUACAUUUUGUGGGGCAAUAAGGGUAGAAACCAUACCUAUAGAACUUUACAAUUUGUCGUGUUUGCCUUUAUGAGUAGACAUCAUGCCUAUAGGACUUUUGUAUCUUGUCAUGUUAGAAAUCAUGCCUAUAGGUCUCAACUAAUUCCAUAAUAGAAAUCAUGUUUACAAGUUUUAAAAUCAGCUUCACAAGUAGAUGUCAUGCCUAUAAGAUAUAAUUCAAUCCAAAUUCUGUCAUAACAAGUGUUUACAUAUUUUUUUCAUUUAUGCUUGCAAAGAUUCUGAAAUCAGUAUUAAACAAGUAGAUAUCAUGCCUAUAGGGAAUAACACCAAAAAGUCUGCUUGUAGAUCUCACAUAAGUUUAGUUUAAAUACAUCAACCAAGUCCACAUUUUAGUUCACUUCUAAACUGGUUUAAUUAAGUGGUUUAUAUAUCCCUGAAAUGAGUCCUUUUUAAAAUUGUCUUAAUUUAUCAUUAGAAAGCAUGCCUAUGGGGAUUAAAAAGUCUGUUAUAAAAACAUGCCUUGUUUCACUAUAAUACGUAGUUAUCAGUGUUCCGUAUAGGCAAACCUGUAGGGCGUUUUCAAAACUUGCAAUUCUGAAAUUGUUUCUGUGACGUAAUGUUCUUCUGGUUUAACAGGCUUUUAAAAAUCAGUAAGCAACUGAUAGGGCAUUACUUUUGAGUUUAUAAAAAUAAAUUGCUUAUCUUCUGCAUAUUCACCUAAACAUCCUGCUUUAGGAUACUGUUUAACAAAAAGGCCUUUAUUUGUGUUUGAGCCGUGCUGCUUGCAUUCCUUAUUGUGGAGGUAAACUGAGCCUAUUAUUUGCUCCUUCCUGUUUUUGUUUGUUAAGAGUCCUAUGUGUUAUUGCUUGUCGCCUUAGUAUUUUUACCUUUUAAACCUUAGGGGUCUGUCUAGAACCACCUAUAGGUACAGGUCUUCAAUCCCUCCAGGACUAUUAAGAAGGGAUGGGUAAUAGCACGCAAUAGAGAUCGCUGACCAACAGUCGCUUUAAAUGACCACUAAGGGGAUGGGAAGGUAGAUAUGGGAUAUGAUGAUUACGCGCUAAUGUCACGUGUAGCCCCUCACUAACGAGUGUUUAUCGAUCAUUGUGGGGGGUUGAUCCUAUAGGCUAAUCAACCUUGGACUCCUCGUUUUCAAAAUUCCUUUUAUUUAAACUUUGUUCUACAAAUACAGCUUGUCCAAAACCUUUGUCUUAUUAUUUGAGUUAUACAAACAUGCCUUAUUUUUAAUUAUUUGCUGCAAGUAUUUAUUUGGACUAAUUCGUAAAUAUAAGUUCGACCGGGACCCACAGUUGUGGACCAACAGGGGUGCCUAACACCUUCCCCUCGAGGUUAUUUUGAGCCUUACCCUAAUCUCUGAUAAUGCAAACCAAUCCUGGAGUUAAUCACUCCAGGUUCCCUAACGCACCUUAAUUCGUUAGGUGGCGACUCUUCAAAUACCCAAUUCCCAAAAGAAAAUGAGUUAUUACCCCCAUGGAAUGUCGAAACCCGGACCUCUCUCCGCGGAGGGAAAAAAGGGGGCGCGACAGCAUGGCAACUCUGUUGGGGACAUCUUUAGGCUCUUACCAUAACGAACUUAUCAUUUUUCUAAUUAGUCCAAGUACGUUUUAUCCUAUACCAUUCUCCCUUAUUUGAAUUUAACUGUCCAUUUGUUAAGCAUUUAUGGUUUUUUUAUCUCUGAAACUGACUUAUCUCUUUGUUUUCUUUUUCCUGUAACUGUCUUUCAAUUAUUUAAAUGCUGUAUUUAUUUUUCCUGCAUGAAAAUACUUGACUACAUGUUAUUAAUUGCUGCAUAAAUCAUGAUCCGUAUCAUAUUCCACUCGUGGGUAUCAAAUCCUAUAGCAAUGCUUUAAUGAGUGGUUGUGCUCUUCCUAUUUACUACCCUUAAAUUCGGAAAGGCUUAUUUGUAGUAAAACUAGUCGAUCAGCGGUGCAAUCGACAGUUUCGUGCCUUCCCCCUCGAGUUGUCCGCUUGAGGGUACCAGUCUAAAACCCCAUAGAAACUGGUUAAAAUUGUGCAUGCAUCAUGGUCAAACCUAGUCGGAUCAGUUAUGUUGUCCACAUAAUGAUCCUUUAAGAUAAGCCUUAUCCAAAGUCUAUCGGGUUUUCCAUAAUCCCAAUGGAUACCACCACAUUAUGUGCAUUAAUUUGGAGAACUAAAUGUCGAUAUGUUGAUCAUAAAUGUAAAAAUAGUCGAGUCUGGUGGGGGUGAGGUCUAACCCCUUUGUUUUGCAGAAAAUGAGGCACGAGGUCCCCAGAUUCGGUAUGGUUAGAAACAUCCCACAAUUGUUGCUAGAUUGGUGGGAGGACCUUUCCUCAAGUGACAAGAAGCAUGUGAGAAAAUACAUGGGUAACCUGCCUUCCUUGCUAGAUAUUGAACCAAACAACAAACUGAUCGAGGCUGCCACUUUAUUCUGGGAUAGUGAAAGAGCUGUGUUUCAUUUCGGUGACAUAGAAAUGACACCACUUUUAGAGGAAAUAGGAGGGCUUGCAGGAUUCAGUUUGGACAGUCCCAGGCUAUUGGUACCAGAAAAUUGUACGGGCAGGGGAUUUUUAAAGAUGAUGGGGAGAAAGAAGAUUGUCGACCUAGUGUGCUUGAAGGACUCCUACAUACCUUUCGAAUACAUGUACGAGAGGUAUGGCCAUAGCAAGUCUUUCCGCACUUACCAAGAUGAGAUCCCUCUCACUUCUCUGGGUCAUAUCUACCAUAGAGUGUUUGUAUUCAUUGUAUGCUUUCUAGGCCUGAUAGUGUUCCCAACGAAAAAGGGAAGAAUCCACACUAGGUUGGCCAUAGUUGCUAAGACUCUGAUGGAAGGGAUUAAUGGACAGACAUAUACCAUAGUCCCCAUUAUCAUAGCCGACAUCUACAAGGUUUUGGAGCGCUGUCAAAGAAGGGUCAAGCAUUUCGAGGGAUGUAAUUUGUUGCUGCAGUUAUGGUUGCUGGAGCAUUUCCAAAAGGGUCGCUAUCGUCAAGAAUUUCCGCGAAGGGCUUGGAACGACCAUAUUGUCUUUCAUCACGCUAAGCAGAUGACUUACAUUCCAGACAGAUUUGCUCAGCUGGAAAGUGCAAAGAAUGGGUAGAAUUCUUCGUUAAUCUAACCGAGGAACAAGUGCAGUGGAUGUUUGAAUGGUUCUCAAUAGACGAGUUUAUUAUCAGAUCCAGGGAUGCUCCGUAGUUGGUGCUGAUCGGGUUGAGAGGGAUAUGUUUGUAUGUCCCUAUGUGAGUUAUGAGGCAAGCAGGUAGAAAAUAGGUUGUACCGAGGGUUGUCAAGAUGAGUCAUUUCAGGGUAGACUUUCAAGAUGACGACAUCCCUUACAAGUGCCCAGCUCAACACAUGUGGCACUGCAAACUCAUUGUGGAGACAAGCACCAUUGAGCCAGACAGGUAUCAUGCAGGGUGCGAGCCUCUCUAUUCUGCAUGGUUGGAAGACAAUCUGAAAGGAAUGGUGACACCAGGGAACAGANNNNNNNNNNNNNNNNNNNNNNNNNGGGAUCUAUAUGACGGAGUCCGGAAGAUCGAGUCUGGGGAAGGUCCUUUUGGGACCAAAUAGGUUAGAUUUACUUGCUUUUCCUAAAAUGUAAUAAGGUCAAGUGCCAAGUAGUGACUUAUCUUAUUAUUAUCUUAGUGUCAUUUUGGCAUUCGACUAUUUUUAUAUUAUGAAAUGAAGCAGUUAUUGGCAUGAAAAGUUCUCCAAGUUUAUUUUUCACUAGGCCUACCUCGGGCACGAGGUUCCCAAAAUAAGACACGAGUUUACAUUUUGAUAUAUGUGUUUAAAUACUGCAAACGUUUCAGAAUCCUCACUGACUUGUUACCUUUUUGUUUUUGCUUAUUUUUAUUAUUAUUCCCAUCCCCUUAGGUUGGUUCACUCAUACUGACCUCAUCAGCAUAUCAUACCAGAUCCAGAGGCCCUCCACCUCCUCCUCCUCCAAGCAACACAAAAGGCAAAGGAAAGACAAAGAUGGACGACUUAAGUGGAAUCUGAAAGGAAAAUAUUGAAAAUGCAGAGACUUCAGAUGGUCGUAGUACUCCAACCCUGAAUGACCUGGUUUUGAGAUUGGAAUAAAAGAUACUAGAACUGCAAGGAGAACUUGAGCAGGUCCACAACUUGGCAAGCCUAUCACUCACCCUCAAUGUCCCUGAUAUCCACCAAUAAAACACAAAGAACCAAACACCUCCUCAGAACACACAAAACCAACAACCAAAAAAUCCUACCGCACCAAAUCAAUAUGCAACUCCACCCCAAAAUAUCAAUCCGCUGCCAAUACCAACUCCACCACAACAUCAUCUUCAACCAAUUUAGUACCCACCAACCACCACUUACCAUACUCCCUAAAACAUACCACAACCCAUUUCCGAUCCCCAAAACUCCACCAAUGACCAUCACUACACCCAGGUUCCUGACACCCAUCAAAGCAACCCCAUAUAUGUGGAAACUAUACCUCAUUCUACCCAACCAAUCUCCUGUGCAACGGAAUCCUCUGAGAAAGACUUGCUCAUUAAGAACAUGGCUGAAGAACUCAAGAAGUUGACAAGCCGAGUUCAAGGGGUUGAAGGCGACAAAGGAAUAGAGGGUUUGAACUAUGAAGAUCUUUGCAUACAGCUUGGAUGUCAAACUGCCAGAGGGGUACAAACCUCCCAAGUUCGAAAUGUUUGAUGGUACAGGUGACCCCAGGGUUAAUCUAAGGACCUAUUGUGAUAAGCUUAUCGGGGUCGGGAAAGAUGAAAGGAUCUGGAUGAAGCUCUUUAUAAGGAGCCUCACUGGGGAUGCUUUGUCUUGGUAUAUCAGCCAAAAUCCUAAGAAAUGGUCCAAUUGGGUAAGCAUGGCACCAGAUUUCAUGGACCGGUUCCAGUUUAACAUAGAGAAUGCACCGGAUGUCUUCUACAUUCAGAAUCUUAAGAAGACACCUACUGAGACUUUUCGUGAGUAUGCUACUCGUUAGAGGUCGGAAGCAGCCAAGGUCAGGUCCGAUUUGGAUGAAGAACUGAUAAAUAAAUUCUUUAUCAUGGCACAGGAUCAACCAUAUUAUGAGAGCUUGAUGGUUAUUGAAAACCACAAGUUCUCUGACAUCAUCAAACUCGGAGAAAGGAUCGAGGAAGGAAUCAAAAGCGGGAUGGUAACAAACUUUGAGGCCUUGCAAGCCACGAAUAAGGCACUACAAUCAGGUGGCAUAUCAAAGAAGAGAGAUGUCGGGGCAGUAAUGGUGGCACAUGGCCCAAAAUCUCCACUCACAUAUCAAACACCUCCACCCACCUAUCAAAUACCUCCACCCACAUAUCAAACACCUCCACCCACAUAUCAAAUACCUCCACCCACAUACCAAGCAUCACCGCCUACAUAUCAACCUUCAUCUCCUAGAUAUUCCCAACCAUUCACUAUCAAUCACACCUAUAACUCCCAACCAUCCCACUUCCAAUCACCACUAGCUCGCCAAAAUUAUCCAAGACCAAGACCCAAUUUCGAUCGCAAGCCACCCAGACAGUACACUGCCAUUGCCGAGCCCAUUGACCAACUGUAUAAAAGGCUAAAAGCCAUAGGCUACAUCACUCAUGUUCCUGCUGUAGAAUUAGAAAAUCCAUCCCAAUGGGUCAAUCUUAACAAAACUUGUGCAUACCAUUCCGGUAUGAAAGGGCACCACUACUGAGUGCCGAACAUUGAAGGAUAAGAUCCAGACACUCAUUGACAACAAGGUCAUACAAGAAAAGAAAGUUGUACCCAAUGUCCACAACAAUCCCCUCCCUGAUCACAGAGGUGAGGAUGUACAUGUGAUAGAAACAAAUGAAGAAUGGGACCUUGAGGGGUCAAUCGUGCUUAUUCGAGAAGGCUAUGACUUUAAGGUUGAAGUCACACUUGCUCAUAUUGUGGUUCAAACUCAGGCACCUAUUGAUGUUGAGGUAACUGCAUCAGUUCCAUUCGAGGUAGAAGCAGCUCUGCCUGCAGCCACCUCCGCUCCAUUUGAAGUAGAAGUGGUCACACCUUUUACUGUGAUGGUGUCAACCACACCCCCAUUCAACUUAGAAGAAAUACCCUGGGAAUGCCGAGGCUCGGCAGAAAGGGAAAGCCAAGGAAGAGGAAUCUGACAUAGCACAAGGAAAGACUAGGACUGGAAGAGUCUAUACACCACUAUAUUUGGGAGGAUCAAGCAAGGAUGCCACUACUAGGCAGCAUAUCAUUGAGACGGGGCCAGAUGACCUGUGGAGGAAAGUGCAGGCUAAGGAGUACUCUAUUGUUGACCACUAAACAAAGUUCUUGCUCAGAUAUCUAUCCUGUCACUAUUGCAGAAUUUAAAGGCACACAAAAAUGCCUUAAUGAAAGUACUGAGCGAGGCUUAUGUACCCAAUAACAUCACUGGUGGAGAAAUGGCUAACAUGGUUGGGCAAGUACUAGAGAGCCAUAAUAUUAUCUUUCACGAAGAUGAGCUAUUGCCUGAGGGUUUGAAUCACAAUCGGGCAUUCCAUAUUACAGUGCAAUUUGAAGACAAGUUCAUUGCUAGGGUCCUGGUUGAUGGAGGUUCAAGCCUAAAUAUUUGUCCAUUCGACACUUUGAAGAGGUUGGACAAAGGUUUCCAUGAGAGUCCAUUCGACACUCUGAAGAGGUUGGACAAAGCUUUCCAUGAGAUACAGGUGGGAAGCAUGAAUGUGAAGGCUUUAGAUGGGUUCCAGAAGGCCACGAUCGGGGAAAUCAACCUUUGCUUGCAGACGGGUCCCACUUGGUUCGACGUUGAAUUCCAAGUUCUUGACAUACCAGCCUCAUAUAAUCUUUUGUUGGGCCGCCCAUGGAUCCAUACUACUAGAGUCGUGCCUUCCACACUACAUCAAGCCAUGAAGUUUGAAUGGAACUGCCAGGAAGUAAUCAUUCACAGAGAUGGAAGUAACCCCGUCUACACUAGUCAAACCAUCCUGGCCAUUGGACAUAGGAGAAGGCUAGGAGGGGAAACCUAUCAUCACAUUAAAUGCGUCAAUACCGUCAAGAAAUAUAAAUGGUGAAGCAGUAAAAUAAAAAGCAUACUAGCAUGGUCCGGAUAUGAACCCGACAAAGGGUUGGGAAAGAACCUCCAAGGUAUCACCAAACCAAUACAGCUAAAACAACAUGGUACCACUUUUGGGCUCGGAUACCAAUAUACAUGGCAAGAAUACAAUGAUUGGUCGCCUCCAUGGCAUGAACCAUAUUACCCUCUUGAGCAACCGGUGCCACAUUUAGAACGGGCUUUUCAUUAGGCUGACAUGAUAUGGGGGACCGUAGAAUAAGAAGCACUAGCUGGGUUGAAGAAUUUUUGCUUGGAGGAUGAAGACAUGGAUUGCAAUGCCAUAAUUGAGGAGGAGGAGGAGGAAGAAGGCCUCACUAUUCAGACUGUGGCGAAGGGAGCUGUUCUCAGAAAAUGGACCGCCACACCAUCCCGAGCCCACCGAGUCCCUGGGUAGCUUCGCAGAAUUUUCUUCUAUAGUCAUUCUAGGCAUUUAAAGAUUCCUAUAGUUUCGUUUUAAUCUUCACUUGUUUCAAAAUAAAUGCUUGAUUCAUCAAGUCGUGCUUUGUUUGGAUAAUUUUUCAUGUUUUAAUCAAAUGCAUUUGCUCUUUAUUAUUCACUACUCUCUUUGCACUUUUUCUUUCUACAACGUUAUUAUUACUGUUCCUGAUGAACCAGUGACUGUGACAUGUAUUGAGGCAAUGCAACAUGAGAAUAGUGAUUGAGAGGAAUAAGAUGAGAUACCCGAAGAAAUCGUCAAGGAGGUUGAAAAUUUUGAGAAUAAGCCUAAGUCCAAUCUGGACGAGAUCGAAGCGGUAAAUUUAGGAGACGCUGAGACCGUCAAGGAGACCCGCAUCAGCAUUCAGUUGUCACCAAUAGAGAAGUAAGAGUACAUUCAUUUCCUAAAAGAAUGAGGACAUUUUCACAUGGUCAUAUGAUGACAUAAACAGUUUGAGCACUUCCAUAGUGGCUCACAAGUUGCCUCUAAUCCCAUGUGUCCGCCAGUCAAGCAGAAACUCAGAAAAUUCAAACCAGACAUGAGUCUGAAAAUCCAGGAAGAAGUUACCAAGCAAACCAAACCCAAGGUUCUCAGGGUGGUUGAAUAUCCAACCCGGUUAGCUAACAUUGUGCUAGUUCCGAAAAAUGACGGGAAGGUCAGAGUAUGUGUUGACUAACGAGAUUUAAACAGAGCAAGUCCCAAAGAUGAUUUUCCACUACCAAAUAUAUACAUCCUGAUCGAUAAUUGAGCCAAGCAUGAACUCCAAUCUUUUGUAGAUUGCUUCGCGGGUUAUCACCAGAUUUGGAUGGAUGAAGAAGAUGUAGAGAAGACAGUUUUUAUUACACCAUGGGGUGUAUAUUAUUACAAGAUGAUGCCAUUCGGUCUGAAAAAUGUUGGGGACACUUACAUGAGAGCCAUGGCAACCAUCUUCCUUGAUAUGAUACACAAAGAAAUAGAGAUGUAUGUGGACGAUGUCAUUAUCAAAUCCAAGAGGGCCACAGAUCACAUAGCAGACUUGAGAAAGUUAUUUGACAGGCUCAGGAGGCACAAUUUGAAAUUGAACCCCGCAAAGUGUGCAUUCGGGAUUCCCGCAGGAAAGUUAUUGUGAUUCAUCGUCAGUCGUCGAGGGAUCGAACUGGAUCUGACUAAAGUCAAAGCUAUUCAGGAGUUACCACCACCUAAGAGCAAAAAGGACGUAAUGAGCUUCCUAGGGCAUCUCAACUAUAUUAGUCGAUUCAUAGCACAGUCCACAGUCAUAUGUCAACCCUUCUUCAAGAUGCUGAGAAAGGAUGCCGAAACAAGCUGGACAGAGCAUUGUCAGAAAGCUUUUGAUAAAAUCAAAGAGUACCUGUCCACACCACCAGUUUUGGUCCCGCCAGAGCCAGGACGACCUUUGCUACUCUAGCUAUCUAUAUUAGAUGGAGCCUUCGGAUAUGUUUUGGGACAACAUGACGAGACAGGUAGAAAGGAACAGGCCAUAUAUUACUUGAGCAAGAAGUUUACACCUUAUGAAGCACGGUAUUCGCUGCUUGAACGCACUUGUUGUGAUUUGACCUGGACAGCCCAGAAAUUGAGGCAUUGCUUCUAUGCCUAUGCUACCUACCUCAUAUCUAGGAUGGAUCCCCUGAAGUAUAUAUUUCAUAAACCCAUGCCUACUAGGAAGUUGGCUAAAUGGCAGAUACUACUAAGUGAGUUCGAUAUCGUGUAUGUAACUCAAAAGGCAGUCAAGGGACAAGCAUUGGCAGAUCAACUUGUUGAAAAUCCAGUGGGAAGAGAAUACAAACCCUUGAACACAUAUUAUCCUGAUGAAGAAGUAUCAUUCGUAGGAGAAGACAUGACCGAAGCAUAUGACGGUUGGAGGAUGUUCUUUGACAGAGCCACAAAUUUCAAAGGAGUGGGUAUUGGAGCAGUUUUGGUAUUAAAAACGGGUCAGUAUUAUCCGGUAUCUGCUAAAUGUACAUUUCCCUGCACCAACAACAUGGCAGAAUAUGAAGCCUCCAUAUUAGGGCUCUACAUGGCGGUUGACAUGAACGUUCAGGAGUUGCUGAUAAUUAGUGACUCAGAUUUGCUUGUGCACCAGGUACAAGGAGAGUGGGCCACCAAGAAUUCCAAGAUAUUGCCAUAUCUGCACACUGUGUAGGAAUUAAGAAAGAAGUUCACAAAGAUAGAAUUCUGACAUGUGCCCAGAAUUUAGAACGAGUUUGCGGACGCAUUGGCCACUUUGUCAUCCAUGAUACAACAUCCAGAUAAGAACUAUAUUUAUCCCAUCCUGGUGAGGAUCCAUAAUCAGCCGACAUAUUGUGCUCAUGUCGAGGAAGAAGCAUAUGGAAAGCCUUGGUUCCAUAACAUCAAAGAAUAAUUAUCAAAAGGAGAAUACCCGGAGCAUGCAAAUCACAUUCAGAAAUGCACGCUCCGGAGAUUGUCAAAUCACUUCUUCCACAGUGAGGGGAACUUGUACAGAAGAACUCCCGAUUUGGGCCUACUAAGAUGUGUUGACAAAAAGGAAGCUUCUAAGCUACUUGAGGAUGUGUAUGCUGGGACCUGUGGCCCACACAUGAAUUAUUUCAUCUUAUCUAAGAAGAUACUCAGAGCAGGCUACUUUUGGAUGACCAUGGAGAUGGAUUGCAUUCAGUAUGUCCGCAAAUACUUUCAAUGUCAAGUGCAUGCCAACAUGAUAAAAGUGCCGCCAAACAAGCUCUCCUUGGCCAGUCGUCGCCUGGGGAAUGGAUGUUAUUGGUCUGAUUGAGCCCACUGCUUCAAACGGACACAAGUUUAUUCUAGUAGCCAUUGAUUACUUCACAAAAUGGGUAGAACCUGCAUCUUACAAAGUUGUAACCAAGAAAGUCGUCGCAGAUUUUGUCAAGUAUCGUAUUGUCUGCCGAUUCGGAGUUUCUGAGUCCAUUAUUUCCGACAACGCCGCCAAUCCCAAUAGUGAUUUGAUAAAAGCCAUAUGUAAAGCUUUCAAAAUCAAGCACAAGAAUUCCACAGCCUACAGACCUCAAAUGAAUGGAGUCGUAGAAGCUGCCAACAAAAACAUUAAGAAAACACUAAGGAAAAUGGUAGAGAAUCACAAACAGUGGCAUGAGAAGUUACCCUUUGCUUGUUAGGAUACCGCACCAUGGUUCGCACAUCAACUGGGGCAUCUUCUUACAUGUUGGUUUAUGGGACCGAGGCUGUCAUCCAAGCCAAGGUGGAGAUUCCUUCUUCAAGAGUCAUAUAGGAAGUUAAACUCAGCGAUGCAGAGUGGAUAAGAAGUCGCUAUGAACAAUUGGCCCUUAUCAAUGGAAAGAGGAUGAACGCAGUGUGUCACGAUCAACUUUAUCAUAACAGAAUGACUAGAGCUUUCAACAAAAGAGUCAAACCAAGAUAGUUCGCACCAGGGCAGCUGGUACUGAAGAAAAUCUUCCCACAUCAAGAUGAAGGCAAAGGGAAAUUUUCUCCCAACUGGCAAGGUCCAUACAUGGUUCACAGAUUACUAAUAGGAGGAGCCCUCAUACUUGCCGAAAUGGACGGAGAAUUCUGGUCAAAACCGAUCAAUUUAAACGCAGUCAGGAGAUACUAUGCUUAGAUACUUUACAUUUACUCAUUUGAUAUAAUUGAAUUACGCUUGACUUGAUUCUCAUUUAAGAGGGGGUGUGUAGGCAGCCUUAUAGGUUCGGUCAUAUUAUAAUAAAAUUUUUAUUUCCCCCAAGAUCAAAAAUUGGGGUAGAAUUUUGAGGAGGGUCCUUAAAAUUCCAGAGCAAGUCCAGCCAACGUUAACAUGUGUCAGACGGUCAGUAAUCAGUUAAGAAAAUGGGGCAGAAUUUUGAGAAGGAUUCUCAAAAUUUCGAAUAAGGUUCAGCAAGGCCUAUUAUCCGCAAACAGCCGAAGGAUCAUCUACCAAACUAGGGCAGAAUUUUGAGGAGGACCCUCAAAAUUUCAUAAGAGAAUUGCAAUGUCUUUGAGAUGUGUCACAAUCACUAGUUCAUCAAAAUUACUUGAUUCAUCAAUACGUUUCUAAAACAGCUCUAUUUUUUUAAAUAAUUGCAUAUUUUCGAAAAACUCUACUUCCAUAGCAGUUAGGUGUCACCCAAGGGAACUCGAAAGACUUUUCAGAACAGAGCAGAGCCAGGCUAGCAGACGAAGCAAGAACCAACCUCCCCUCACAAAACUUACAAUUUUUCUUUGAAUGUAGGCACAUUUGACGUAACGAUAGCACUCGCAAAACAUGUGUACACAAAGAUAAUUCACUAUCAGUUAGGCCAUCAGACAUCGAAUACAUCUCUAGCUAAAAAAUACACUACUCUUAUCUGCUACUCACUCUUUGCAUAGGAAUAAUUCCUGUCCUCCAUAUUUGCAUGAGGCUAAUUCGUGCCCUAUUUACAUGAGGCUAAUCCCUGCCUCCAUACUUGCAUGAGGCUAAUACUUGCCUCCCUAUUUGCAUGAGUCAAAUCCAUGACUCCAUAUUUGCAAGAGGCUAAUCCUUGCCUCCAUACUUGCAUGAGUCUAAUCCUUCACUCCGUGAGGCUAGUCCCUGCCUCCAUAUUUGCAUAAGGAAAAUCCUUGCCUCCAUAGUUGCUUGAGUCCAAUCCUUACCUCCUUAUUUGCAUGAGUCUAAUCCUUGACUUUCAACUUGCAUGAGUCUAAUCCUUGACUCCCUAUCUGCAUGAGGCUAAUCCUUGCCUCCAUACUUGCAUGAGUCUAAUCCUUGACUCUAUGAGGCUAAUCCGUGCCUCCAUACUUGUAUGAGGCUAAUCCUUGCCUCCCUAUUUGCAUGAGUCUAAUCCAUGACUCCACAUUUGCAUGAGGCUAAUUCUUACCUCCAUACUUGCAUGAGUCUAAUCUUUGACUCCCUAUCUGCAUGAGUCUAAUACUUGACUCCCCACUUGCAUGAGUCUAAUCCUUGACUCUACAUUUGAAUGAGGCUAAUCCAUGCCUCCCCAUUGGCACGAGGCUAAUCCUUACCUCCCUAUUUGCAUGAGUCUAAUCCUUGACUCCCCACUUGUAUGAGUCUAAUCCUUGACUCCCUAUAGGCAUGAGGCUAAUCCUUACCUCCCUAUUUGCAUGAGGUUAAUCCUUGCCUUUAUACCUGCAUAAGGCUAAUCCUUGCCUCCACAUUCGCAUGGGACUAAGCAUUGUCCCUUUUGCAUAGAUAUCGCUCUAUUUUACUAUCUAUUUUCUUUCCAAUGGGGCUAAGCUCUGCCCUCCAUUUCACAAGACUAAUCAUUGUCUUGAUAACAUCAUUAUUAUUGCAUCUCAUGGGCUGAAAUAUCACCAAUCUAUCCAAAGGCAUCAUAGUCUAAAAAGCAUCAUCCUCAUAGCUAGAAGACACCAAGUCAUGACCUGAGGAUCUCUCAAAUUUGCAUAUCAUUAUUCAAAGGCAUCAUGGUUCGGAGGCACCAUCUUCAUGGCCCGAGAACACCAUUUCAUGGUCUGUGAAUCCCUCACAAAACAAUUCAUGGCCCAGGACAUCAUGGUAUAAGGACGUCAUCUUUAACCGUCCAAAGACAACCUUCAUGGUCCAAAGGGAAUUUGUAUCAUGUUUAAAUUUUUGCAAAUACAUGAUUGUAGCAUCUUUUGUCUGCGGGUAACCAGUAAGAAACCGUUAUCCUAGCAGGAGCAAUAUCACUCCAGUUCCCUCAACCGUCCCGAGCUUUAACCUCUCACCGUAGCCGCUUCCGCAUCGCGUAUCCGUUCUUGCAGUAAUUUCAUCGGCAUAUUUCGCAGAUGAUUCCAGAACUAUACAUGGCCUGAUUCCUGUAAAACCAGGGAUAUGUAGGCAACUCGAAAACCGAAGUUCGUCCUCUGUCUUUCAAAACAUCCCGUCCAGUCAAAAUUGGCCAUCAUUUCUUUACCCGAAAACUCUUUCAUCCUUCUCGGGUAAAGAGGAGCAGCUGUUGACACUCAAUUUUUUCCUAUAUUUUUAUAUGCAAAAAUACCUUCAAAAUAGCAUAUAUAUGCAUAUAAGCAUCCACAAGAUUUUAUAAUUUUUCCCAUAAUUUCAAGAAUUUAAAUUAAUUUAUUUCCUUCCCUUUUAUUCAUAAAAUCUCCAAUAAUUAUCCCUCAAAUUAUUGUAGUGGUGAUUUAGUCAUUUAAUUUAUAUAUUUAUGCCAAAAUAUGGUUAAAAUAAUUUUUGUGCAUUUUUACAAUUGUAUUUUAUAUUUUUAAAGCUAAAUUGCAUAAAAUUACAAUAUUAGCCGCAUUAAUGUAUAAUUACAUUUAAUUGCGUAAAAUUGAUCUCCUAUAUUUUUAAAAAGUUAAAUGUCUAUUUUAAAUCACUUUAGUAUACAAAAUUAUUUUCCAAAAAUUAGCUAUUAUUUAUUAUAAAUUAUAUAGGGGAAAUUGGCUAUUUAAAAUUUAGCUAGAUUUACAUUUCAAUUGUAGCCCAAUUUAAACCCAACCCCAACCCAAUUUCAAAUUAAAAACACCCGGCCCAAACCCUGAACCCACUUACCCGACCCAAGACCCGUCACAUCAUUGCCGUUGAUCCAAAAGAUCAACGACAUUCAUCCGUUCUUACCAUUUUUAAUUCCAAUGAUCCCCUAACCCUAUCUCAUUUCCCAAAUCCACCGGCUCUGUAUUAUCUCAUCUCCUCUCCUCUCUCAACCCCUCAACCUAACCCUAGCUCAUUCAACCGCUGACCUUCUUCGCCGAUCUUCUCCGACGAUCUCCCUUCAACUCCUAAGCCUCCAAUGGCUGCUCUAAUGCUAUGCUUGCCUUCUCUAAGGUCUUCAAGGGCCCUGGGCCACGCUGACUUGAAUCUAGGGUUUGCUAAUUGCCUGUUCUUGGCCCCUCCGGUGUGAUUCCAAGCAAAAUCACGUUGUAUUUGGCACGACCGUUGGGAUUCUAUACAGGUUCUUGCACCUCAAUAUGGAUUUCUCCUGAAACCCUAAUUCCUUCUUGUAGCUCCUAGAUAUGUACAAAUCUAGGACGAUUCGAGUUGGUUUCUUUAGUAUUUCACACUGUUCUUGAAACUAUUUUACAAGAAUCAUCGAUUUCAAAGUGUUUUCAUCUUCUUCUAAAAUUAGGAUUUUCGGAACGUCUUUUAAAACAUUGGUUAAACUGAUUCUUUACUGCAUAUUUCAACUGAUUCUAUGAUUUUACUCCCUUUUCAACUCACCUACGUUGAAAGCCCUAAAUUUUUGAGAUUUCUUUGUUUUGUUCUCUGUGUUAGCAUGACUACUCGAUUCUUGUUUAAGUAUCUGUGAUUACCUUGACUCGAAUAUGUUCUUACUGAGUUUUUAGCUUUNNNNNNNNNNNNNNNNNNNNNNNNNNNNNNNNNNNNNNNNNNNNNNNNNNNNNNNNNNNNNNNNNNNNNNNNNNNNNNNNNNNNNNNNNNNNNNNNNNNNNNNNNNNNNNNNNNNNNNNNNNNNNNNNNNNNNNNNNNNNNNNNNNNNNNNNNNNNNNNNNNNNNNNNNNNNNNNNNNNNNNNNNNNNNNNNNNNNNNNNNNNNNNNNNNNNNNNNNNNNNNNNNNNNNNNNNNNNNNNNNNNNNNNNNNNNNNNNNNNNNNNNNNNNNNNNNNNNNNNNNNNNNNNNNNNNNNNNNNNNNNNNNNNNNNNNNNNNNNNNNNNNNNNNNNNNNNNNNNNNNNNNNNNNNNNNNNNNNNNNNNNNNNNNNNNNNNNNNNNNNNNNNNNNNNNNNNNNNNNNNNNNNNNNNNNNNNNNNNNNNNNNNNNNNNNNNNNNNNNNNNNNNNNNNNNNNNNNNNNNNNNNNNNNNNNNNNNNNNNNNNNNNNNNNNNNNNNNNNNNNNNNNNNNNNNNNNNNNNNNNNNNNNNNNNNNNNNNNNNNNNNNNNNNNNNNNNNNNNNNNNNNNNNNNNNNNNNNNNNNNNNNNNNNNNNNNNNNNNNNNNNNNNNNNNNNNNNNNNNNNNNNNNNNNNNNNNNNNNNNNNNNNNNNNNNNNNNNNNNNNNNNNNNNNNNNNNNNNNNNNNNNNNNNNNNNNNNNNNNNNNNNNNNNNNNNNNNNNNNNNNNNNNNNNNNNNNNNNNNNNNNNNNNNNNNNNNNNNNNNNNNNNNNNNNNNNNNNNNNNNNNNNNNNNNNNNNNNNNNNNNNNNNNNNNNNNNNNNNNNNNNNNNNNNNNNNNNNNNNNNNNNNNNNNNNNNNNNNNNNNNNNNNNNNNNNNNNNNNNNNNNNNNNNNNNNNNNNNNNNNNNNNNCUAUUUAUAUGCUGAAUAUUGAAUCAUGACCUCCUCUUUGAUUGAUUCUUGAUUCCCUAUUUUAUAGUUUGAUUGAAAUAUGUUCCCUCAAACCCUAGAUUUCUACCUCUUCUAUUCAAAUUAACCGAUUCACCUACCUUGUUUGUUGUGGUACUUUAUUCUUACUGAACUAUUUCUUUAAUUGGAGUUUUCUGAACAUAGCCCUAAUUGCUUACCCUAUACUUACUGAAUCUAAUUCUUUCCUUAUUAGUCAUACACUGAUUUCUUUCCUUAUAUGCUACUUGUUCUUACCGUUUGAAUUAAUUCCUUUAACCUAAGGGAGUACUGGACCUGAUUUUGCUCUAAUUGAUUCUGAGUUCCAUAAUUACUAUGCUACUAUGAUUCUUACCUUAUUUUUUAUCUAAUUUCAAACUACUAUAUAUACACACUCUUUCAUUAACACAACACACGAACACUUUGGUUCAAAAGCUCUCUCUCACACUUAAUUUUUCUGCUCUCUCUCUUUUGUGCUACUUGCUACUAUUCUAAGUAAGCCGGCUGCAAGCCAAGGCUACUCUCCUGCUCCUUCACUUUUGUUUAGUGUCUUCUCUACUUGUAUGUUCUAGUUUCAAUCCAUGUUCCAACAACAAUAUGGUUCUUUUAUUGCUUCAAUUCAUCAUGUUUCUAGUUUGCUUUUACUUAUGAUUUUGCUGUGAAACCUGUUGUUAAUAUGCUUACAUGAUUAGCAUGUUAUGAACACCUCUUCCUUAGAAUUAGUAUGAGCAUCUUAUCCCUUCUAUGUAAUCUUUCUCCAUGUAAUCUUGCACUAGCUGGACUCUGAUAUGAAUCUCCUCUAUAUAGUCUGCACUCCUAAAUUGUAUGGUUCUGGGAUUGAAUCAUGUGGAUUCAAUACUGAACCCCCUUAAGAAUUGUUGGUUCUGUGACUAUGUCUGAUCAGUUGUGUCUGAGCAUGUCUGUACCAAUUCCUAAGACCUUUUCUUGUUAGGGGUUUACAAUUAUGUGUUCUAUGUAUUCCCAAAUCCUUUGAACCCUGUUUGUGACUACUGAAUUUGCUUUGGUUCUAUGACCCCCGGAUGUGUAUGAACCUGUCUUAAGGGUGUUGUGUUUGGACUGUUGUUUACUACUCCACUAUCUUUUCAAACUGUCUCUAUUGUUUUACUAAAUUAUUUCAAAUAAACUUUCUUCUAAUACAGUUUUCCCACUGAAACUUUUCAACUUGUGUCAAGAACUUUCACUCUACUCCUAAGUCAAUAAGUUUUGCCCCCUCCAGUAUGUGUACUGCCUUGGGAUCCUCUUGAGAACCCUCUGAACUCUAGCAUACUAAGGCUAGCCCUUCCACACUGCACUAAUUUAAUUUUGGUUACCAAGUCUAGGUAUAAGCACUGCCCGUGAUUCUUGAGAUCCUUAGGGAACUUUGAUGCACCUAGACUAUGACAUUGUCUAUGGAAUUGAGGCAUUUGAGACUAUUUGAGGCUUUGGAUAUCUGGGCCUAUCCAUAGGUUCCCUAUAGAAUAACUUCUUAUUUUCUUAUUUACUUAUGUAAUUCAUCCAUAUGGUUUGUAAUAACUUGUAAGCGAAUAUUGGGGUAAUUAGUGAAAAGGGUGGGUAGCUACAUAUUUGUGGGGAAAUAAGGGUAGAAACCACGCCUAUAGGACUUUACAAUUUGAUGUGUUUGCCUUUAUGAGUAGAAAUCAUGUCGAUAGGACUUUUGUAUCUUGUCAUGUUAGAAAUUAUGCCUAUAGGUCUCAACUGAUUCCAUAAUAGAAAUCAUGUUUACAAGUCUUAAAAUCAGACUCACAAGUAGAUGUCAUGCCUAUAGUAUAUAAUUCAAUCCAAAUUCUGUCAUAACAAGUGUUUACAUGUUUUUCAUUUAUACUUGCAAAGUUUCUGAAAUCAGUAUUAAACAAGUAGAUAUCAUGCCUAUAAUGAAUAACACCAGAAAGUCUGCUUGUAGAUCUCACCUAAGUUUAGUUUAAAUAAAUCAACCCAGUCUGUGUUUUAGUUCACUUCUAAACUGGUUUAAUUAAGUGGUUUAUAUUUUCCUGAAACGAGUCCUUUUUAAAAUUAUCUUUAUUUAUCAUUAGAAAGCAUGCCUAUGGGGAUUAAAAGGUCCCUUUUAAAAACAUGCUUUUUUUACUAUAAGACGUAGUCAUCAGUGUUCCGCGUAGGCAAACCUGUAGGGCAUUUUCAAAACUCUCAAUUCUGAAAUUGUUUCUGUGACUUAAUGUUCUUCUGGUUUAACAGGCUUUAAAAAAUUAGUAGGCAACUGAUAGGGCAUUACUUCUGAGUUUAUAAAAAUAAAUUGUUUGUCUUCUAUAUAUUCACCUAAACAUCCUGCCUUAGGACACUGUUUAACAAAAAUGUCUUUAUUUGUAUUUGAGUCGUGCUGCUUACAUGCCUUAUUGUGGAGGUAAAUUGAGCCUCUUAUUUGCUCCUUCCAGUUCUUGUUUGCUAAGAGUCCUAUGUGUUAUUGCUUGUCGCCUUAGUAUUUUUACCUUUUAAACCUUAGAGGUCUGUCUAGAACUACCUAUAUGUGAAGGUCCUAAAUCCCUCCAUGACCAUUAAGAAGGGACGGGUAACAGCACGCAAUAGAGAUCGCUGACCAACACUCGCUUUGAAUGACCGCUAAGGGGAUGGGAAGGGUAGAUAUGGGAUAUGAUGACUACGCGGUAAUGUCACGUGUAGCCCCUUGUUGAGGAGUGUUUACCGGAUAUUGUAUGGGGUGAUCCUAUAGGCUAAUCAACCUAGGACUCCUCCUUUUCAAAAUUCCUUUUGUUUAAACUUUGUUCUAUAAAUACAAAUUGUCCAAAACUUUUGUCUUAUUAUUUGAGUUAUACAAACAUGCCUUAUUUGUAAUUAUUUGCUGCAAGUAUUUAUUUGGACUAAUUCGUAAAUAAAAGUUCGGCCAGGACCCACAGUUGUGGACCAAGAGGGGUGCCUAACACCUUCUCCUCGAGGUCAUUUCAAGCCCUUACCCUAAUCUCUGGUAAUAUAAACCAACCCAAGAGUUAAUCACUCUAGGUGCCCUAACACACUUUAAUUCGUUAGGUGGCGACUCUUCAAAUACCCAAUUCCCAAAAAGAAAUGAGUUAUUACCCCUAUGGAAUGUCGAAAAUCGGACCUUUCUCCGCAGAGGGAAAAAAGGGGUCGCGACAGAUGUAUUAAAUAACAACGGAGAGAUAAGAAUAUCAAGAACAAAUAUUACUUUAACACUUAGUUCCACAACACCAACCUCAAAUUCGAGUCAAUACUCAAUCAAUCCAAAUUCAGUAAACAUGAUAAGAAAUUGCUCAACACAUAAAAUAACUAGUCUAAAAGAGUAUAACGUGAACAAUGUGCUCAAAGAGUAUAACAUUUACAAGAAUAAGACUCGCUCACAUGUUAUGACACGACAACAAUGCAUAGGUGCUCGUCACCACACCUAUAUAUUGGGCUCAACAUCCAAACACGUAGCAAUUAGGCAAAUAAUACCUAAUCCCUCAAGCUAAGGUUAACCACGACACUUACCUCGCUCCAAUGGCCAAACUCAAAGCUCAAUCGUCGCUUUUCCCUUCACACAAGCCUCCAGACCAAUAGAAUCUAGGAAAUUACCAACCAAACAAUUCAAUUUAAGCCUUAGGAACUACCCACGAUUGCAAGGAAUUCAAUUUAGACCAUUUUUAAAAAAGUCAACCCCCGGGACCGCUUAGUCCAAACCCGAAAUUCGGACCGAAACACAAUUACCCAUUCACCUCCGAGCACGGAUAUAUAAUUGAUUUUGGAAUCCGACCUCAAUUUGAGGUCUAAAUCCCCAAAUUUCAAAAUUCCUAGUUUCUACCCAAAAAUCCCCAAUUCCACCAUGAAAAUCUUAGAUUCUAGGUUUAAAUCUUGUAAAAUGAAGUGAAAGAUUGAAAGAAAUGAGUUAAGAAUCACUUACUUUUGGGGAAGAAGUGGUCUUUGGAAAAUCGCAUAGAGGGUUUCUUGUGUUUGAAAAAUAAAUGAGCAAAAUCCCGUCUAUGUUAGGUUUUACACAACGGCAGAUGUCGCAUUUGCAACCUGAGCUUCACAAUUGCGAAGCUCGCAAAUGCGAAGGGACCAUCGCAAAUGCGUGGUCCUUCACAUCUCUGCUGCCUUCGUAAUUGCGAAGAUAAGUUCGCAAUUGCGAACUUGAAUCUACGCAAAUGCGACAAAAAGAUCGCAGUUGCGAUCACUGCCCCUCCCAGCUUUACUUCGCAAAUGCGAAGUACUCUUCGCAAUUGCGAAGACUGUAUGGCCCAGCUUCUCUUCGCAUUUGCGAUGAGAAGCUCGCAAAUGAAACCCCACAGAGGUCGCAAUUGCGAUGCCUGGCCUCGCAAUAGCGAUAUCAGGGGCCUGCAACACCAUCCGUUACACCAGCAAUUAUUUCCAAGUUCAAAUCACUCUGUAGCCUAUCUGAAACUCACCCGAGCCCUCGGGGCUCAAAACCAAAUAUGCACACAAAUCUUAAUACAUACAAACUUGCUCGCGCGAUCAAAUCUCCAAAAUAACACCUACAACUACGAAUUUAGCACCAAAUCAAAUGAAAUUCCCAAGAACACUUUGAAAUUUCUAUUUUCUCAACCGGACGUCCGAAUCACGUCAAACCAACUCCGUUUCUCACUAAAUUUCACAGACAUGACUUAAAUAUUAUUACCCGAUAAACCAAAUAUGCACACAAGUCUUAAUACAUACAAACUUGCUCGCGCGAUCAAAUCUCCAAAAUAACACCUAGAAUUGCGAAUUUAGCCCCAAAUCAAAUGAAAUUCCCAAGAACACUUUGAAAUUUCAAUUUUCUCAACCGGACGUCCGAAUCACAUCAAACCAACUCCGUUUCUCACCAAAUUUCACAGACAUGACUUAAAUAUUAUAUUGAACCUGUACCGGGUUGCGGAACGAAAAUACGGACCCGAUACUAACAAUAUCAAACAUUAACAAUUUCUUAAAAAUCAUUAAAUUUUCAAACUUACACUUUCUAACAAAAACUCAUAAAGUGGGCUAAAGACCUCCGAAUCUAAUUUCGGGCAUACGCCCAGAUCCCACAUUUCGAUACGGAUCCACCACGACUGUCUAAAUACGAGUCCGAGUCCGUUUACCCAAAACGUUAACCGAAGUCAAUUAAAUCAACCUUUAAAAGCAAAAAUAUUAUUUUCAUUAAUUUCAACAUAAAAGCAUUCCGGAAAUACGCCCGAUCUGUACACGUAAAUCGAGGAAGGAUAGAAUUUAUGAUCAGUUAUCAAAGCUGAUCAAGUUUGUUAACAAACUUGAGUAAAUAAGUUGUAAUAAAUUAGUUACAAUUCCUAACACCAUCUAGUGCAACUUCUGCCAGAACUACGCAAUCUUUAGGCUGAAUAGCUUGUUUGGCCAAAUGCUGCAAAAAUCAGCUUAUUUUGAGAAGUGUUUUUUUAAAUGUACUUUUGGUGAGAAGUAGAUAAAAAUGUGAGAUUGCAAAAAUAGUUGAAACAGACGCAGUUCUAAAAAUAGAUUAAAAAGAAUACAAAAAAUGGAAAAGGGAAUAUAGAUAUUUUAUGCUCGAUAUUAUCUCAAAUCUUGCAAGGGCAAGGACCAACACUGAGUAGUUUAUAGCAGUAGCACAGAGAGAGUAAUUUAAUAAAUUAAUAAUAAUCACAAGAUAGAUUGAAAAGUUUAAGUAAAAACAUAAUCAAAGCUGCUUACUCAAACAAAAACGGGAUGUUGUUUCCUAUUCCAUUCUUUUCCUAGAUUUCAGCUCACCCUUUUUUUUUUAUAAGAAGCCUAAAUAUGAUAUGACUUUCCUUUGAAUUAUGAUGCUGAAGUAAGUUGACAGGAUAUCUAAGCAUAUAAAUUAUAAGAGGAUACGUGAGAACUCACUCUGGAACUUCUUUUUCGUGCUACAAUUUUGCUCGAGCGAAUACGAUUGAAUUAGCUUUGGAUUACGAGUGUCACGAUCCGGAUUUCUCACCGUCAGAACUGUAAUGGUGCCUAACUUUUCAGUUGCUAGGCAAACCAACAAUUAGAGAUUAAUACACUAACUCUUAAGCAAUUCAGCAAAUAACAACAAUUAAACCAUAACAGAUUAAAGGAGUGCAGAAUUCUAUAAUAACCCAAGUAAUUAUACACAACUAUCCAGAAUCUGGUGUCACAAUUUACGAACUUCUAAGAAUCACUAUAAAUAACUGGUUGAAGGAAAGUACAACUGUUUUCGAGUUAGAAGAAACAUUAAACUGAAAUAACUGGAAGGGAACUCCAGGGUCAGCGAACGCCGGCAGAUUACCUUGGGUCUCCUGUGUAAUUGAAGUCAGCAACUCAACUCGGGUCAGCACGGGCCAGUACCGAAAUCUGUAUAGAAAGUGCAGAGUGUAGUAUCAGUUCAACCGACCCCAUGUACUAGUAAGUGCUGAGCCUAUCCUCAGCGAAGCAGUGGCUAGGACAAGACACAUACAUAAACCUAUGCAGUUAAACAAUAUACAAGCACAAUAACAACUAAUAGAAGCUAAACAGAUAACAACAGGAGGGGAAGCAUGCUGAGGGAAUUGCAUGAUAAAGAAUCACAGCCGUAGGGAAUUUUAAAAAGCUAGUACACCUAAACCAGUAACAAUAAGUAAAUACAGUAACGGAAAAAUGCAUGGCAUCGCACUUCGUGCUUUUACUCUCAACCUCACCAGAUAAUCAAUAGAAAUGGCACAAUAUCACCCUUCGUGCUUUUACUCUCAACCUCACCAUAUAAAUCAAAUAAGAAUGGCACGGCGUCACCCAUCGUGCUUUUACUCUCAUCCUCACCACAUAAAUCAAAUAAGAAUGGCACGACAUCACUCUUCGUGCUUUUACUCUCAUCCUCACCAUAUAAAUCAAAUAAGAAUGACACAGCGUCACCCUUCAUGCCUUAACACUCUCCCUCACCAAAACAAGGAACAAUAAUAAUAGGGAGAUGAAAUGACUAUAACAAGCCUAACUUCAACUAAUAAUAUGGAGAUAGAAAUGACAACAACAAGUCUAACUUCAACAAUUACUUCCAAAAUAUCAACCUCGACUUUAAGUCAAUACUCAAUCAAUACCAAAAUCCGUACAUAUGAAAGAACGAUCAAUAUAACAAUAAACUAGUCUAAGCAUGAGUAGUAUGAUUACGGAAAGCUAUAAUUUUAAGAAUAAGACUCACUAGCAUGUUAUGAUCUGAAAACAACGCAUAGGUACUCGUCACCUCACCUAUACAUUAUACUCAACAUUCAGACACAUAGCAAGUAGGUAUAUAAUACCUAAUCCCUCAAGCCAUGGUUAACCAUAAUACUUACCUCGCUCCGCGAGCUACUCAAUGCUUAAUGACCGCUUUUCCUCUAGUAUACACCUCCGAACCACUCGUAUCUAGCUACAAUUAACCUAACAACAUCAAUUAUUGCUAAAGGAAUCAACUGCAAUGCAUAACUUUAGAUUUUCCAAACAUUUUCCCAAAAAGUCAAAAACCGACCCCGGGCCUGCUUAGCCAAAAUCCGAGGUUAGGACCAAAAUCUAUUUACCCAUUCACCAUCGGGCCCGAAUAUGCAAUUAAUUUUUAAUUCCGACCCCAAAUUGAGGUCUAAAUCCCAAUUUCCCAAAAAUUCCUAAUUUUACCCAAACUCCCAAUGUAUACCAUGGAAAUCCUAGAUUUUAGGUAGUAAAUUCAUGGAAUGCAAUGGGUAAUUGAAAGAAAAUGAUUUUGAAUCACUUACGAACACUUUGGGGAAGAAAUUAGCUUUGGAGAAUUGCCCUUAGGACGUUAGGCUUUUGAAAAUUUGAAAGAAUGACCUAUGUCCUGUAAUGGGACUGUUUAAUAGCUGGGCGACAGUGUUCAUCGCAUUCGCGAGGACACUGUCGUGUUCACGAAGAGCAGCAUCCUAAAGACUUACGCUAUCGCGAAAUUUCCAUCGUGUUCGCAAAGACUACACCCCUGGCCUUCGUGUUCGCAGGCCCUCGCUCGCGUUCGCGAUGAAUAAUGACUGAACCACUCCCCCGGGUCCCUAAAGCAUCCCAUUCGCGUUGGACUGGUCGCGUUCGCGAAAGGUAAAGCCCACAUGGCUUCGUGUUCUUGAACCAGCCUUCAUGUUCGUGUAGAGUAAAAUCCUUCCCAGCCCAGAUUCCCCUUCGCAAUCGCGAAACACAAAAUAUCAGGACACUAGUUACAGCAAAACACACCAGAAUUCUAAAGUCUAAAAUAUCCCGUAGAAACUCACCCGACCCUCAGUACUCCAAACCAAACAUGCACACAAGUCUAAAAACAUCAUACGGACUUGCGUGCGUGAUCAAAUCGCCAGAAUAACACUUAGAACUACGAAUUUAGCAUAAAAUCGAAUGAAAUUUUCAAGAAAACUUUAAAACUUCUAUUUUCUUAACCGGGCGUCCGAAUUACGUCAAACCAACUCCGUUUCUCACCAAAUUUUACAGACAUGACUUAAAUAUUAUAUUGAACCUGUACCGGGCUCUGAAACAAAAAUAUUGACCCGAUGCCAAAAAGAUCAAACAUUAACAAUUUCUUAAAAAUCACUAAAUUUUUAAACUUACAAUUUUUAACAAAAAUUCAUAUCUCAGGCUAGGGACCUCUGAAUCUAAUUCCGGGCAUACGCUCAGGUCCCAUAUUUCGAUACGGACCCAUCAAGACUAUCAAAAUACAAAUCCGGGUUCGUUUACUCAAAACAUUGACCGAAGUCAAUUAAAUCAACUUUUAAAGGUAACAUAUAUUAUUUUCAUCAACUUUCAAUAUAAAAGCUUUCUGAAAACAACGCACGCAAUUCGAAGGGAUAAAAUUAGGUUUUAAAGGCCUCAAAACAUAGAAUUUGGUUUUAAAUCAUAAGAUGACCUAUUGGGUCAUCACAUUAUCCACCUCUAAAACAACCGUUCGUCCUCGAACGGACAUAGAAAAGUACCUAAGCUGGGAAAAAGGUAGGGUUAUCUACUUUGCAUAUCGGACUCGGACUCCCAAGUAGCCACCUCAACAGGCUGACCUCUCCUUUAGCACUCGAACUGAAGGAUAACUGUUCGAUCUCAACUGACGAACCUACCGGUCUAGAAAGGCUAUCUGCUCAUCCUCGUAGGUCAAAUCCUUGUCCAACUGGACAAUGCUAAAGUCUAACACGUGAGAUGGAUCGCCAUGAUACUUCCAAAGCAUGGACAUAUAGAAUACUGGAUGUACCGUUGAUAAGUCAGGUGGCAACGCAAGUCUAUAAGAGACCUCUACCACUUGCUCAAGGAUCUCAAAAGGCCCGAUGUACCUAGGGCUCAACUUUCCCUUCUUUACAAACCUCAUUACACCCUUCAUGGGUGACACACGGAGCAAACACUCACUCUCCGACCAUGAAUGCAACAUCACGGACCUUACGGUCGGUAUAACUCUUCUGUCUGGACUAAGCUGUGCAAAGUCUAUCCUGAAUGAUCUUAACCUUAUCCAAGGCAUAUUGUACCAAAUCUGUACCCAAUAACCGAGCCUCCUCCGGCUCAAACCAUCUAACAGGCGACCGACACCGUCUACCAUAUAAUACCUCAUAGGAGGCCAUUUGAAUGCUCGACUGGUAGUUGUUGUUGUAGGAAAACUCCGCUAAUGACAAGACCUGAUCGCAAGAACUUCGAAGUCAAUAAUACAAGCGCAGAGCAUAUCCUCUAAGAUCAGAAUAGUAUGCUCGUACUGUCCAUCUGUCUGAGAAUGAAAUGGUGUGCUCAGCUCAACCCGCAUACCCAACUUACGCUACACUUCCCUCAAAAAAUGUGAGGUGAACUACAUACCUCGAUCUGAAAUGAUAGACAUGGGCACAUUAUGAAGGCACACGAUCUCACGGAUGUAAAUCAUUGCCAACCGCUCUGAAGAUAGGAAACUAUCACAGGAAUAAAAUGCGGUGACUUGGUCAGUCUAUCUAUAAUAACCCAAACUGCAUCGAACUUCCUCUGAGUCCGUGAGAGUCCAACAAUGAAAUCCAUAGUGAUGCGCUCCCACUUCCACUCAAGAAUCUCUAUCUUCUGAAGCAAACCACCAGGUCUCUAAUGCUCGUACUUUACUUGCUGACAAUUUAGACACCGAGCUACAUAUGCAACUAUAUCCUUUUUCAUCCUCCUUUACCAAUAAUGCUGCUGCAAAUCCUGAUACAUUUUGGCGGCGCCCAGAUGAAUAGAAUACAAGGAACUGUGGGCGUCCUCUAGAAUCAACUCACGAAGUCCAUCCACAUUAGGCACCCAAAUACGACCCUGCAUCUUCAAAGCACCAUCAUCUCCAAUCGUAACAUGCUUGGCAUCCCCGUGUCGUACCGUGUCCCUAAGGAAAGCAAAUGAGGAUCAUCAUACUUAUGCUCCAUAAUGCGCUCAAACAAUGAAGAUCGAGCAACUGUACAAGCUAGAACACAACUGGGCUCAGAAAUAUCUAACCUCACGAACUGAUUGGACAAAGCCUGAACAUCUAAUGCAAGCGGUCUCUCAACUACUGGAAUGUAGGCAAGGCUGCCCAUACUAGCUGACUUCCUACUCAAAGCAUCGGCCACCACAUUGGCCUUCCCGAGAUGAUACAAGAUAGUGAUAUCAUAGUCUUUCAAUAGCUCUAACCAUCUCCUCUACCUCAAAUUGAGCUCUUUGUGCUUGAACAAGUACUGCAAACUCUGAUGAUCCUUGAAUACCUCACACGGCACACCAUAAAGAUAGUGCCUGCAAAUCAACAGUGCGUGAAUAAUGGUUGCCAGCUCUAGAUCAUGAACAAGGUAAUUCUUCUCGUGAACCUUUAGUUGUCGUGAAGCAUAAGCAAUAACCUUGUCAUCCCACAUCAAUACCGCACCAAGUCUAACUCGGGAUGCAUCGCAAUAUACCGUAUAAGAUCUUGAACCUGUGGGUAACACUAAUACCGGCAUCGUAGUCAAACUAUCUUAAGCUUCUGAAAUCUCGCCUCACACUCGUCUGACCAUCUGAACGGGGCACCCUUCUGGAUCAAUAUAGUCAACGGGGCUGCUAUAGAUGAGAACCCAUCCACAAACCGACGGUAAUAACCCGCCAAUCCCAAGAAACUCCGAAUCUCUGUAGGUGAUGUGGGUCUAGGCCAGUUCUUGACUGCCUCAAUCUUCUUAGGAUCCACCUGAAUACCCUCUACUGAUACAACGUGCCCCAAGAAGGCGACUGAGUCCAACCAAAACUCGUAUUUUGAAAACUUAGCAUAUAACUAGCUGUCUCUCAGAGUCUAAAGAACGACCGGUAGAUGCUGCUCAUGCUCCUCUCGACUACGGGAGUUGAUCAAGAUAUCAUCAAGAAAAACAAUCACAAAGGAAUCAAGAUAUGUCUUGAACACCUGGUUCAUCAAAUCCAUGAAUGAUGCUGGGGCAUUUGUCAGCCCAAAUGACAUCAAUAGAAACUUAUAAUGCCCAUACCGAGUCCGAAAAGCUAUCUUGGGGACAUCGGAUGCCCUAAUCUUCAACUGAUGGUAGCCUGACCUCAAAUCGAUCUUUGAAAACACCUUUGCACCCUGAAGCUGGUCAAAUUAGUCAUCAAUCCUCAGCAAUGGAUACUUGUUCUUGGUAGUAACUUCGUUCAACUGCCGAUAAUCUAUGCACAUUCUCAUCGACCCAUCCUUCUUCUUCACAAACAACACAGGCGCACCCCAAGGCGAGACACUAAGUCUUAUAAAGCCCUUAUCAAGAAAAUCUUGCAACUACUCCUUCAACUCUUUCAACUCUAGCAGGGCCAUGUGGUAUGGCGUAAUAGAAAUAAGCUGAGAGCCCCAAACCAAAUCAAUAUAGAAGUCAAUAUCCCUGUCGGGUGGCAUCCCUAGCAGGUCUGUAGGAAAUACCUCUUGAAACUCUAGAACAACUGGUACUAAUUCCAUGGAAGGAACCUAUGUACUAGAAUUGUGGACAUAAGCCAAAUAAGCUAGACAACCCUUCUCGACCAUACAUCGAGCCUUCAUAUAGGAAAUAACCUUGAUGGUAGAAUAACUAGGAGUCCCUCUCUACUCUAUUCGAGGCAACCCCGAUAAGGCUAAGGUCACUGUCUUGGCGUGACAGUCCUAUAUAGCAUGAUAAGGUGACAACCAAUCCAUCCCCCAAAUGACAUCAAAAUCAACCAUACCGAGAAGUAGGAGAUCUACACAAGUCUCAAGACCCCCAAUAAUGACCACACACAAGUAAUAGACACGAUCUACAAUAAUAGAAUACCACACAGGUAUGGACAAAUACACAGGAGCACUCAAAGAAUCACGAGGCACAACCAAAUAUGAAGCAAAAUAGGAUGACACAUACGAAUAAGUAGAACCCGGAUCAAAUAAUACUAAGGCAUCCCAACUGCAAACUGAAAUUGUAUUUGUGAUAACCGUGUCAGAUGACUCAGCCUUAGCCCUGGCUGGAAAAGCAUAGCAUCGGGGCUAGGCCCCACCAUUCUAAACUACAUCUCGAGGACAAGAACUAUGUGACAGGCAUCCACCUCUAGCGGCUAGACCUCCACCUGUAGAUAUCUUACCCCUACCUCUAGCUGACUGAGCGGGUGGUGAACACUCGGUGCCGGGACCAUGGCACAAAAACUCUGAUGCUGAGAACUGCUCGAUGCUCGAGGGAAAAACUUAGCAAUGUGCCUCGGAUCACCACAAGUAUAACAAGAUCUCGGCUGUUAUGGCUGAUGGCCCUGAAACUGACCUUGGUGGCCUGAGUAACCAUCUUGAAAACUCUGGAGCGAAGGUGCACUGAUAGGAGCUGGUGGUGAACUAUAGGCUAGAAGAUCAGAAUACUACAUAUGAGGGCCACGGCCACCGGAAGCACCGUGAGAAGCCUGGAGAGCUAAAAAUGGCCUGGGAGGAUGGCCUCUGCCAAAAGUACCCCGGCCUUCAUAUAAGGCCCCACUGAAUCCACCAGAGUGACAAGGCCUCUUGUCAGACCCCUAACCACUCCCCUGAGAUAAAACCAUCUCGACUCGCCUGGCAACAUUGGCAGCAGUGUGAAAAGAAAUUUCGCUCCCAGUCUCCUUAGCCAUCUGCAAUUUGAUAGGCUGAGCGAGUCCCUCAAUAAACCUCCCCACCCGCUCUCCCGGUAGGAAGUAUAAGAAGAGCAUGACAGGCCAAAUCAACAAAAUGGGUCUCGUACUGAGUGACGGUAAUACUGCCCUGCAGGAGACACUCGAAAUACCUGCGAUAGUCCUCUCUCAGUGUAACAGGAAUGAACUUCUCAAGAAAUAUCUUAGAGAACUGGUCCCAAGUCAAAGCAGGCGACCUAGCUGGUCUAGUCAACACAAAGUCAUUCCACCACCUCUUGGCGGACCCUAUCAUUGGAAACACAGCAUAAUCGACCGCAUUGGUCUCUACUAUCCCCAUGUUCCGCAGCACCUCAUGGCAACGAUCAAGAUAAUCCUGUGGGUCCUCAGAAGGUGCCCCACUAUAAUAAACUAGAAAGAGCUUGGUGAACUUGUCCAAUCUGAAUAAGCUCUUAGAGGACAUAAUAGCUGAUCCACCAGAAGCUUGUGCCGCAAUAACUGGCUGAGCUGCUGAAGUUUGGUAUUGGGGAGCCAUCUGCUCUAGAGUGUGAGUAGCAGGAGUCUGUGCUCGUCCUCCAGCCUGGGAGACGGUUGGUUCCAUGGGAAAAGUGCAUGUCUGAGCGACACUCUCCAUAAGGCCCACCAAACAGACCAAAGCAUCCUGAAACACGAGGGUAGCGAUGAAACCCUUUGGGACCUAAGAUGGUCCUACUAGAACGGUCUAGGCUGGAGCCUCCUCAUCAAACUCCACCUGAGGCUCUGCCACUAGUACUGCUUCUCGAGCUCUAGGAUGAGCACUCCCCUGCCUCGGCCUCUGGCAUGACCUCGACCUCUAUACCUCGUAGGAGCUACCACUAGGGACUUUGGCUGCUACUCAGCUAAAGACACGGUACGUGUUCUCGCCAUCUGCAAACGAACAAGAAUAUAAGAGUUCGGUUAGCACUGAGAGAACAGUAUCGCACGAUUGAGAAAAAUAGAAGUGGUAUUGUUCCUAAACUCUAUAGCCUUAAGGAGAUAAGUACAUACAUCUCCGUACCGAUCCCCUAGACUCUACUAAGCAUGUUUGUGAAUUGUGAGUCCUAGGCAACCUAGUGCUCUGAAACCAACUUGUCACGACCCGGAUUUCCUGCCGUCGGGAUCGUGAUGGUGCCUAACUUUUCAGUUGCUAGCAAGACAAAAAUUAGAGAUUAAUAUGCUAACUCUUAAACAAUUCAGUAAAUAACAACAAUUAAACUAUAACAGAUUAAAGGAGUGCAGAAUUUUAUAAUAACCCAAGUAAUUAUACACGACUACCCAAAAUCUAGUGUCAAAAUUCACGAACUUCUAAGAGUCACAACAAAUAACUGGCUGAAGGAAAGUACAACUAUUUUUAAGUUAGAAGAAAUAUUGAACUAAAAUAACUGGAAAGGGGACUCCAGGGUCUGCGAACGCCGACAGAUCUACCUUGGAUCUGCUGUGGGAUUGAAGUCAGCAGCUCAACUCGGGUCAACACGGUCUAGUACUGAAAUCUGCACAGAAAAUGCAGAGUAGUGUAUCAGUACAACCAACCCCAUGUACUAGUAAGUGCUGAGCCUAACCUCCGCGAAGUAGUGAUGAGGCUAGGACAAGACACAUACAUAAACUUGUGCAGUUAAACAAUAUACGAGCACACUAACAACUACUAGAAGCUAAACAGAUAAUAACGGGAAGGGAAACAUGCUGAGGGGAUUGCAAGAUAAAUAAUCACAGCAGUAGAGAAAAUUUAAACAGCUAAUACACCUUGAACUAGUAACGGAAAAAUGCAUGACAUCACCCUUCGUGCUUUUACUCUCUACCUCACCAUAUAAAUCAAAUAAGAAUGGAACGAUAUCACCCUUCGUGCUUUUACUCUCAUCCUCACCACAUAAAUCAAAUAAGAAUAGCACGGCAUCACCCUUCGUGCUUUUACUCUCAUCCUCACCAUAUCAAUCAAAUAAGAAUGGCACGGCGUCACCCUUCGUGCCUUAACACUCUCCCUCACCAAAACAAGAAACAAUAAUAAUAGGGAGAUAGAAAUGACAACAACAACUAUUACUUCAACAAUUACUUCCACAAUAUCAAACUCAACUUUGAGUCAAUACUCAAUCAAUAACAAAAUUCGUACAUAUGAUAAGAACGAUCAACAUAACAAUAAACUAGUCUAAGCAUGGAUAGUAUUAUCACGGAAAGCUACAAUUUUAAGAAUAAGACUCACUGGCAUGUUAUGACCCGACAAUAAUGCAUAGGUACUCUUCACCUCUCUUAUACGUUGUACUCAACAUUCAAACACAUAGCAAGUAGCCAUAUAACACCUAAUCCAUCAAGCCAAGGUUAACCACAAUACUUACCUCGCUCUGCGUGCCAUUCAAUGCUCAAUUACCAUUUUUCCUCUAGUAUCCACCUCCGAACCACUCGUAUCUAGCCACAAUUAACUCAACAACAUCAACUAUUGCUAAAGGAAUCAACUACAAUGCAUUAAUAUAGAUUUCCCAAAUUUUCCCCCAAAAAGUCAAAAACUGACCCCGGGCCCGCUUAGUCAAAACCCGAGGUUCGGACCAAAUCCAUUUAUCCAUUCACCCCCGAGGCCGAAUAUGCAAAUUAUUUUUGAAAUCCGACCCCAAAUUGAGGUCUAAAUCUCAAUUUCCCAAAAAUCUCUAAUUCUACCUAAACCCCCAAUUUCUACCAUGGAAAUCCUAGAUUACAGGUUGUAAAUUCAUGGAAUGCAAUGGGUAAUUGAAAUAAAAUGGUUUGGAAUCACUUACCAAUACUUUAGGGAAGAAAUUUGCUCGAGAGAAUCGCCCCUAGGCUGUUUGGCUUUUGUAAAUUUGAAAGAAUGGCCUAAGUCCCAUAAAGGGACCGUUUAAUAGCUGGGUGACAGUGUUCAUCGCGUUCGCGAGGACAUUGUCGCGUUCGUAAAGAGAAGCAUCCUAAAGACUUAUGCGAUCGCAAUAUUCCCAUCGGGUUCACGAAGGCUAUGCCCCUUGGCCUUCGUGUUCGCAAGCCCUCACUCGCGUUUACGAUGAAGAAAGACUGAGCCCCUCCCCCAUGUCCCUAAAGCAUCGCAUUCGCGUUGGGCUGGUCGCGUUCCGAAGGGUAAAGCCCGCAUCACUCUGUGUUCGUGACCCAACCUUCGCGUUCGCGUAGUGUAAAAUCCUUCCCAGCCGAGAUUCCAAUUCACGAUCACGAGAAUGGCUUCGCGAUCGAGAAGCACAAAAUAUCAGGACACCAGCUGCAGUAAACAUACCAGAUUUCUAAGUCUAAAACAUCCAUAUCCUAUCCAAAACUCACCCGAGCUCUCGGUACUCAAAACCAAACAUGCACACAAGUCUAAAAACAUCAUACGGAUUUGCUUGCCUGAUCAAAUCGCCAAAAUAAUACCUAGAACUACGAAUUUAGCAAAAAAUCGAAUGAAAUUUUCAAGAAAGCUUUAAAACUUCUAUUUUCUCAACCCGACAUCACCUUUCGUUCUUUUGCUCUCAACCUCACCAAAUAAUCAAUAGAAAAGGCACGGCAUCACCCUUCAUGCUUUUACUCUCAACCUCACCAUAUAAAUCAAAUAAGAAUAGUACGGCAUCACCCUUCGUGCUUUUACUCUGAUCCUCACCACAUAAAUCAAAUAAAAAAGACACGGCAUCACCUUUCGUGCUUCUACUCUCAUCCACACCAUAUAAAUCAAAUAAGAAUGACACGGCGUCACCCUUUGUGCCUUAACACUCUCCCUCACCAAAACAAGGAACAAUAAUAAUAGGGAGAUAGAAAUAACAACAACAAGUCUUACUUCAACAAUUGCUUCCACAAUAUCAACCUCGACUUUGAGUCAAUACUCAAUUAAUACCAAAAUCCGUACAUAUGAUAAGAACGAUCAACAUAACAAUAAACUAGUCUAAGCAUGGAUAGCAUGAUCACGGAAAGUUAAAAUUUUUAGAAUAAGACUCUCUAGCAUGUUAUGACCCGAAAACAACGCAUAGGUACUCGUCACCUCACCUAUACAUUAUAAUCAACAUUCAGACACAUAGAAAGUAGGCAUAUGAGACCUAAUCCCUCAAGCCAAGGUUAACCACGACAAUUACCCUCCACUCAAUGCUCAAUUAUCGCUUUUCCUUUAGUAUCCACCUCUAAAUUACUCGUAUCUAGCUACAAUUAACUCAACAACAUCAUUAUUGCUAAAUAAAUCAACUACAAUGCAUAAAUUUAGAUUACCUAAACUUUCCCCCAAAAAGUCAAAAACCAACCCAAGCCCGCUUGGUUAAAACCCGAGGUUCGGAACAAAAUCUAUUUACCCAUUCACCCCCAAGCCUGAAUAUCCAAUUAGUUUUGAAAUCCGACCCCAAAAUUGAGGUCUAAAUCCCAAUUUCCCAAAAAUCCCUAAUUCUACCCAAACCCCAAUUUCUACCAUGAAAAUCCUUGAUUUUAGGUUGUAAAUUCCUGGAAUGCAAUGGGUAAUUGAAAGAAAAUGGCUUAGAAUCACUUACCAAAACUUUGGGGAAGAAAUUAGCUUGAGAGAAUCGCCCCUACGACGUUUGGCUUUUGAAAAUUUGAAAGAAUGGCCUAAGUCCCGUAAUGGGUUGUUUAAUAGUUGGGCGACAGUGUUCAUCACGUUCGCGAGGACACUGUCGCGUUCGCAAAGAGCAGCAUCCUAAAGACUUGCGCAAUCGCUAAAUUCCCAUCGCGUUUGUGAACACUACACCCCCUGGCCUUCGUGUUCGCAAGCCCUUGCUCGCGUUCGCGAUGAAGAAUGACUGACCCCCUCCCCCGGGUCCCAAAAGCAUCACGUUCGUGUUGGGCUGGUCGCGUUCGCGUAGAGUAAAAUCCUCCCCAGCCCAGAUUCCCCUUCGCGAUCACGAAGCACGUAAUAUUAGGACACCGGAUGCAGAAAAACACACCAGAUUUCUAAGUCUAAUACAUCUCGUAGCCUAUGACAAACUCUUCCGAGCCCUCGGUAAUCCAAACUAAACAUGUACACAAGUCUAAAAACAUCAUACGCACUUGCUUGCAUGAUCAAAUCACAAAAAUAACACCUAGAACUACAAAUUUAGCACAAAAUCGGAUGAAAUUUUUAAAAAAGCUUUAGAACUUUUAUUCUCUCAAACGGGCGUCCAAAUUACAUCAAACCAACUCCGGUUCUCACCAAAUUUCACAGACAUGGCUUAAAUGUUAUAUUGAACAUGUACUGGGCUCCGGAAACAAAAUACAGACCCGAUACUAACAAGAUCAAACAUUAUCAAUUUCUUAAAAACAAUUAAAUUUUUAGACUUACAAUUUCUAACAAAAACUCAUAACUCGGGCUAGAGACCUCUGAAUCCAAUUCCGGGCAUACGCCCAGGUCUCACAUUUCAAUACGGACCCACCGGGACUGUCAAAAGACGAGUCCGGGUAUGUUUACUUAAAACUUUGACCAAAGUAACUAAAUCAACUAUUAAAGGCAAAAAAUAUUAUUUUCAUCAACUUUCAACAUAAAAGCUUUUCGGAAACAGCACACGCAAUUUGAGGAGGAAUAAAAUUAGGUUUUGAAGGCCUCGGAACACAGAAUUUGGUUUUAAAUCAUAAGAUGACCAUUCGGGUCAUCACAUUCUCUACCUCUAAAACAACCGUUCGUCCUCAAACUAACAUAGAAAAGUACCUGAGCUGGGUAAAAGGUAGGGGUAUCUACUCUUCAUAUCAGACUCGGACUCCCAGGUAGCUACCUGAACAGGCUGACCUCUCCACUGCACUCAAACUGAAGGAUAACUCUUCGACCACAACUGAAGAGCCUGCCGGUCUAGAAUGGCUACCGGCUCCUCCUCGUAGGUCAAAUCCUUGUCCAGCUGGAUAGUGCUGAAGUCUAACACGCGAGAUAGAUCGCCAUGAUACUUACAAAGCUUGGACACAUGGAAUACUGGAUGUACUGCUGAUAAGCCUGGUGGCAACGCAAGUCCAUAGGCCACCUCUCCCACUCGUUAAAGGAUUUCAAAAGGCCCGAUAUACUCAUAGGGAUCAAGUUGCCCUUCUUUAAAAACCUCAUUACACCCUUCAUGGGUGACACACAGAGAAACACUCGCUCUCCGACCAUGAAUGCAACAUCACAGACCUUACGGUCGGUAUAACUCUUCUGCCUGGACUGAGCUGCGCGAAGUCUAUCCUGAAUGAUCUUAACCUUAUCCAAGGCAUCCUGUACCAAAUCUAUACCUAAUAACCGAGUCUUCCCCAGCUCAAACCAUCCAACAGGUGACCGACACCAUCUACCAUAUAAUGCCUCAUAAGGGGCCAUCUGAAUGCUCGACUGGUAGCUGCUGUUGUAGGCAAACUCCGCUAACGGCAAGAACUGAUCCCAAGAACUCCAAAGUCAAUAACACAGGCACGGAGCAUAUCCUCUAAGAUCUGAAUAGUACACUCGGACUGUCCGUCUGUCUGAGGAUGAAAUAUUGCGCUUAGCUCAACCACAUGCCCAGUUCACUCUACACUGCCCUCCAAAAAUGCGAGAUGAACAGCAUACCUCGAUCCAAAAUGAUAGACACGGGCACACCAUGAAGGCAGACGAUCUCACAUAUGUAAAUCUUUGCAAACCGCUCUAAAGAAUAGGAAACUACCAUAGGAAUGAAAUGCGCUGAAUUGGUCAGUCUAUCUCCAAUAACCCAAACUACAUCGAACUUCCUUUGAGUUCGUGAGAGUCCAACAACAACAUUCAUAGUGAUACGCUCCCACUUCUACUCAGGAAUCUCUAUCUUGUGAAGCAAACCACAAGGUCUCUGAUGCUCGUACUUUACUUCUUGACAAUUUAGACACCGAGCUACAUAUGCAACUAUAUCCUUCUUCAUCCUCCACCAAUAAUACUCCAGCAAAUCCUGAUACAUCUUGGCGGUGCCCGGAUUAAUAGAAUACCGGGAACUAUGGGCCUCUUCUAGAAUUAACUCACGAAUUCCAUCCACAUUAGGCACAAAAACACGACCCAGCAUCCUCAAAACUCCAUCAUCUCUAUUCGCAACCUGCUUGGCAUCCCUGUGCCGCAAUGUGUCCCUAAGGACAAGCAAAUGAGGGUCAUCAUACUGCCCCUCCCUAAUGCGCUCAAACAAUGAAGACCGAGCAACCACACAAGCUAGAACACGACUAGGCUCAGAAACAUCCAACCUCACGAACUGAUUGGCCAAAGCCUGAAUAUCUAAUGCAAGCGGUCUCCCGCCUACUGGAAUGUACGCAAGGCUGCCCAUACUAGCUGACUUCCUACUCAAAGCAUCGGUCACCACAUUGGCCUUCCCGGGAUGAUACAAGAUAAUGAUGUCAUAGUCUUUCAAUAGCUCUAACCAUGUCCUCUGCCUCAAAUUGAGCUCUUUCUGCUUGAACAAGUACUCCAAACACCGAUGAUCCGUGAAUGCCUCACACGGCACACCGUAAAGAUAGUACAUCCAAAUCUUCAGAGCGUGAACAAUGGCUGCUAGCUCUAGAUCAUGAACAAGGUAAUUCUUCUCGUAAACCUUCACCUGUCGCGAAGCAUAAGCAAUAACAUUGUCAUCCUGCAUCAAUACCACACCAAGUCCAACUCGUGAUGCAUCACAAUAUACCUUAUAAGAUCUUGAACCCGUGGGUAACACCAAUGCCAACACCAUAUUCAAAGCUGUCUUGAGCCUCUGAAAGUUCGCCUCACACUCGUCUGACCAUCUGAACGAGGCACCAUUCUAGGUCACUCUGGUCAAUGGGGCUGCUAUAGAUGAGAACCCCUCCACAAACCGAUAGUAAUAAUCCGCCAAUCCCAAGAAACUCCGGAUCUUUGUAGCUGAUGUGGGUCGAGGCCAAUUCUUGACUGCCUCAAACUUCCUAUGAUCCACCUGAAUACCCUCAGUUGAUGCAACGUGCCCAAGAAGGCGACUGAGUCCAACCAAAACUCGCAUUUUGAAAACUUAGCAUACUGUCGCACCUCAUUUUUUUUACACCCCGAGGGGGUAUAUAAUGGAGUUUUUCCAAUUAAAGUGAUAUUAUUCGAAAUGAGAUUAUUUUAUUUAAUUUUUCAGAGUCGCCACUUGGAAUAGUUUAAUUGGUGUUCCAAGUCACUGGUCUAUUUUAAAUACCAAAUCGAGGAAAAUUUGACUUUACUUUAUAAGUCUGCGAACCAGAAAUUCUAGAUAAGAAAUUCUGUUAACCGGAAGAAGGUGUUAGGCACUUCCGGGUUCUGUGGUUCUAGCACGGUCGCUUUAACUAUUAAUAUUAGCCUAUUAUCUGAUUAACUACACGUUUUAAACCCAUAUAACUUUUUAAAAACCGCUUUUUAAUAAUUAUUGUUACAUAUUACGAAUCAUGUCACAGGAAUCGUACCCAUGAUCUACAACGCGUUUAAUUUUUGAAAGAUUAAAUUGUGGUAGGAUCACAUAAAUGUACCCCCAAAUUUUAGUAAUUAAGCGUCGCGACUACGUCACGGGAACCGUACCCGUAGCUAUGACAAUUAUUUAAUUAACACUCCUAAGGCAAACUACGAAAGUUCAAGGCAAUUUCUAUACUAAUUUUAUAUUUAUGUGAAGGCCAUGGAUUAUAGGAUUUAUUUUUGUAUGGCGAACCUCAAGUUAUUUUCUAAAAAAGGAUUAGCUCUUGAUCUAAUCUUGUGAGGGCCAUGUAUUAUAAGUUUAAAGCAUGGCACACCUCAAAUUAUUUUAAGAAAAGGGUUAUAUAUUUUAAAGGCAAACUAAAGGUUCUCCUAUUUUAAUCUAAUUUAAAAUUAAUUAUCACAACCACGUCACGGGAACCGUACCAUAGUUGUAAUAAUUUAAUUAAUCAUGCCUAAAGAAAGCUACGAUGUUCAUUAAUUAUUUCUUUCUAAGUUUGAGAUUAUUGUGAGGCCAUGAGAAGUAGGGAACACUAUUUGGGGAAGAGGCGUAAGAUUAGCUAUUGGGUUUAUUAGCAAGUUCAAUUACCCUACUAAGCUAGAAGGAUUUGGACAAUAAAGCGCCUUCAAGCACUGUACGACAAACAAUCUGAAAUACCCAUUUCCUGCCAACCAAAGAAACUACUUUGAAAGAAAGAAUAAAACAUGACUACCGAGCGUAAUAAGAAAAAUAACAAACUGAUAUAAUCAUAUGACACAUCCAAUUCUAAAUUAAAGCAAUGUCACGAUGGUGCUGCUACACUUCUUUGCUAACUGUUACAAAGAGAUGUACUGUUUACAUUUUUCAAUGAGAUUUUCUCAUGAAUUAUGUUCUCUACAUAUUGGUUUCCUCAACCUUUUAGGGAUAAAUAUUUCGAGAACUCAAGCUUUGUUUAUAGCUGCUGGUAUUAUAAAACAAACUCAAUGAUAAAAAUAUCUGAAAGUUGACAUGCUCAUAAACUGAGAUUUAAUCAUUCAAUACACUAUGGCUUCUUAUUCAUGUAUGCUAGUUCAACAAUUAGUAAAUUAACACCAAGUACAGCUGAUUCAGGCAUAAAAAUAUGGGAAUUUAUCAAGCUGAAUUUCAUGUUUGUCUGGAAUCAGCAUAUUUCAGACACAAUUACCAAAUAGCUUUGCAAAAUAUCACGUGUUAACAAAAAUAGCUCUCAAACAUCAAAUUAAGAACUAAACUCAACUACUACAAUUAACGCCCUUGUUGUGGCAGUCAAGCCCUUGAAACAAACCGAAUACCAGUCAAAUUCUAUGGCUAGAUACCAAUGCAUUCAUUACGUCCAAUUUUGUGGGAAAAAAAACUAAAGUAUGCAUCUGACCAGCAGGCUUAGAAAUCACAACAACUAACGAGGAAAGUUAAACCACCAGUAAAUCAACAAAAACGAUUUGACACAGAACAACAUGAUAAAAUUCAUACGAAACAAAGCCCACAAGGAAUAUACCAUUUGUAUUGAAUCUAAUAUUCAAGCUCUACAACAUGAAAAUCACUGAGCAAACAAACUUACCUAGGCAACAGGUGAAUCAACUAGCAAAGUGCCAAAUAAAGGCUAAGAGAAAGUGAAGAAGCUCAGCAAAUCAGCAGUAAAAAUCAACAGAAAUCAAUGGCAAAUCAACAGCUUUGAGAACUGAAAUCAACUCAAUCCAAACCCAUUCUUGAUAACCUAAAAUCAACAAAAACAAUGCUAAAAACGUUUUUUGUGCUUUCUCUGAUUUCUUUUGAAAAUGAAGCUCAAAUGAAGAACACAAACUCAGACUAUUUAAUUUCUUAUAUUUUUUCCGUUUUCUGAAGAGAGCAGACUAAAAAAAAGGCCUCAAGAAAAGGAAAAACUUAAAAAACCCUAGAAAUUUACUCUACUAAUUUUCUAAAAAUUUCUUCUCCUCCCUCACAAGAACAGAUCUUAACUUAUAUAUAACUUCCAAAAUUCUCGAAGCUUCUGCCUAGGAUCCGAAAAAUUCCCUCAUUUGUGAACGAUUUUAGGGAUAAAUAGAAGGCAUGGAUCGAUUUACAUCCUUCCACGGCUCCCAUUCAUCCAGUUAAAUCGCUCCAUAGUACAGAAAUCGUGCAAAUUCGGAGGGAGUAUUCUUUUUUCUCUGAUAGAAAUCCGUUUGAAUAAAGUGACGUGGAGAGGAGGGGACCCAUUUGAGUGAACUCGCCUGAGUUUCAGGCGAGUUGAGGUUGGCUCAGCGGAGAAGAUGAUGAAAAGUACGGGUGGGGCGUCGUUUCUGUAUCUUCAGAUUUAGGGUUUGGAUAUA
rnacentral:lncRNA from 1 species